UGAUUUUUUUGUGUUCAUGCACCUGACACAAGUUUCUCCGCACGCACUCUUGUACAGAAAAAAGGCAACGAAGCACAGUAGUAUACUCGACAACAACAAGAAGACCAAAAACCACAGCACCGGCAACUCGAGACUGCUUCUGAAUCCAUAAUGCCGGUGUUCCUCUCACCCCAGGUUCUCUCCCAGUUUCCUUAUCCUGAAAACACACCUUGAGAUCACUAAAGGGGAAAAAAAUGCACCUGAAUUCCUUAAAUUGAUAUGGGUAGAUAACAUCGGGAGCUAAGAACUAUCAGUGUAUAUUCAUGUCAUGUCAAGUAAAUCAACUGAGAUUCCUUGAAAUACUUGCAAAUUAAAACGAUGAAAUCCAGUAGGGGAUCUUUUAGACAUUGAAUCGGUUGAUUAUCUGCAGAAAUUUUUUCAAAAUCCUGCGAUGCACAACUUGAUACUUCACACUGCAACUGAAACAUUGUUGCCACUCAUCAUUCAUGCCAUGUCUCUGCAGCCGCACAAGAUCUCCAAACUGAAUGGAGCAAUUGCGUGUAGUUUUGAAAAUUGCUUGCUCCUAAGUGAAUUAAUUCGAAGGGAAAUUACUCCCAAAGGGACCUUUAUACUAAACUGAAGGAAAUAUGUUUUGCAAUAAAAAAUAUCCACUAAAUAAUCAGGAAUGAUAUAAGUGCAGAAAAAAAAUUGGAGCUAUAUUGCUGAGUCUUGUACUCCCUCUGUCCCAAAAUAAGUGUCUCAAAUUUGUACCAACUUUAGUACAAAGUUGUAUUAGAGUUGAGACACUUAUUUUGGGACGGAGGGAGUACUAAUGCAAAGCACAUUUAGUCUUGUAAGAAGUAGGGAAAUAAAUGAACAUGGGACUAUGUCUUAUAUAUGUUAAUAAAUUUUGUUUUGCCAGAAGGUGGUAUAGGGAAGGUAUACCGUAUGCUUACAGAUUGCCUUUGGAGUGCUUUGCCAACAAACUUAUCAACUGGAGAUGGUAUCAGCUUGAAGUUGAGGGCAUCCUUUGAUAUUAUACUCCACCUGACCAGAGGAUGGCAAGCCUUUCAAGCAAGAUAGUGCCCCACAAUCUUUGAUGGUUAAGUUGGUCAAUGCCUUGCAUGAGUGGAGCCUUAUGGUUGUUAAAGCUGAACACGUCAUUAUUUCAACUUCACUUAGCUCAGAACAAUUGAAGUCAAUCUUAACAUCCUUCAGGGAGGACAUACCAAUCAAGGAUAGUUUCUUCAGGUAUGGCAGCUCCUCAAAUGGUGGCAGGGUUUUCAUUGCUGUACAGUCUUGGAGUUGGAGGCUUUCCAAAUUGCCGAGUGAGAAAUUUCGUCCCAACCAUGUUGGAGUAGCACCGGCGUAGUUUAUGACAAGAAGAUGCGCAAGGUCACCAUGUGGUUGAAGACCCUCGAUCACUUCUUUCUGAACAUCAUUAUUUUCUCCCCAUGAGAGUGACAGUGUCCUUAGAUGUUCCUUAUCUUCAAUCCUUGCACCGCUGGCCUCUGCCUUAUCUUUGACAUUCUCAAGACCAAGGAUACUAAGCGACCCUUUGAUCUCCUGUAAGUGUUCCAGCUGCGAAAUAUUGAAGUCACUCCCUUUUUGAACCUGAAAUUCAUGCAGCUCUUGUAGAAGCUUAAGUUCUCCAACUCUUGAUAUCUUCGAGUGCAAUGAUCCUGACCCCGGAACAAGCAGAUAUUGUAGGUUCAAGAGAUUACUGAUAGACUUAGGCAAAUCACUUAGACCACUCCAAUGUGUGAUGUCCAAUACUAUUAGGUGGUAGAGCUUACAUAUAGCCUCAGGCAAAGGUCUGUGCUGGUCUGAACUGUACCUCAGUUCUAAAUAGCGAAGAUGGAUGAAAUUUUGGACACUGGAUAGCAAACUGUCAACAUUAAAGGGCAUUGCUGAUAACUUAAGUAUCUGGACAUAACUUAAUUUCUCCAAAGCCCCUACAAACUUUUCAGAGAUCUUUUCAUCAUAUAUACCUACAAGCAUUAAACUCUCCAAAGUUUUCAGAAUAUCUUUUUUCUCAAUUUCAUCCAACUUUUUUUCAAAGGUUUUAUGAUGUCCUAUAAUUUCAUCCUUGUAGACCGACUCAGUCCAGAUGCCCACAUGACGAAUGGAUGUGAAGACCUUCAGAGAAUCUGAGCCAUCAACAAGAAGGCAUUCAUGCACUGAAACUUCUUGGGCUACAUCAUGCAUUAAAUCAUGCACGAUGAAGUGCUGUUCAUCUUUCUGAAAGAAGCUCCGGUCUAUCAAAUCAUCAAAGUUGUCACUUCCGGCAUCUUCUAAUUUCUUUCUCUCGUCCAUGACAAAACCAAGAGCAAUCCACAUACGUAUCAACUGCUCCUUCUCAAAUCUGUAACCUUUUGGAAACAUAGCACAAUAUGAGAAUAGCUGCUGAAGGUGAUAGGGGAGGUGAUUGUAACUGAGCUUUAGUGCUGGUAUGAUGUCAUCCACUGUAUUUGAUAACUUCCAUUCAUCACUUUUUAAAAUACGUUUCCAGUAAACUUCAGUAAGGUUUCUCCUCAAAAGUGUGGCUACACUUUUAGCCGCUAAAGGAUUUCCUUUCAGCUUGAUGGCUAUCUCUUUCCCGAUUCCUUGAAGCUUAUUGUUUCCUUGAUAAUUCUCAUCACGAAAUAUGCAUCUUUUGAAGAAGGGCCAAAAUGUUUCAUCAUUCAUACCACCUAACUUGAUAUGUCCCUCCACUUUGCUUGUUAUAUUGGCAACAGAGAACUUCCGCGUUGUCAUCAAAAUCACAUUACCCUUGGAAUCUGUACAUCUAAGUGGAGCCAACAGUUUGUCCCAGCGAGCCUCGCUCUCUUCCCACAUGUCAUCCAAAACAAGCAAAUAUGUUUUCUUGUGCAAGUAUUUGUUGAUCACACGUUGAAGCCCAUUGAGAUGUUUGAUGUUUGCGUACUCCGAGGCAGGUGCUAUUUCUUCAAGAAUCCCUUGUGCGAGCUUGAUUUCAUCAAAAUUAGCAGAUACAUGGACCCAGAUCUUGAUGGCGAAGUCAGCUCCCACUUGCGGGUUAUGGUACACCAGUCGAGCAAGUGUGGUCUUCCCAACACCUCCAUGACCAACUAUUGGCAGAACCAGAAGCUCUUGAUCACUGAAUUUACUUGCACUAAUUAGUUUUAGAACAUCAGCCUCCUCCUUCCUCGGGAACAACUUGGAUUCAGUGAAGAAUUCUACUGCCGCGCCUAUGUUUGUGCUUGUGUUUUGAAUUGCUGCAAGCAGUUUAUCAUGUUUCUCAAUCAAGAGAGCAGCGUGAACAUUGUCACAGAUCUUAUGCAGCUUCUCCACAGUAUUUCCUAUGUCUUUGAUUUCAAAACUUGUCAAUUUCCCCUUGGAUUGAGUCAUAGAUUUCAUUGUUGAUGUAAACUGAUUGCGGCCCUUCAGUUUCAUCUUUUGUAUCUGUUCAUCGUACAUUGGAAGUGUUAGAAUUAAAACUCUUUUUUUUUCAUAUCGAUAAUACAAACUUUGAUUUCACAGAGCAAAUCGGCAUCAACAUCAAGAAAGCUGAGAUGUACUCGGCUGGCACCAACAAGCGCAGAGGAUGCACCACACUGAACCGAAGGAGAAAAAUGUUGUUUGAAAUGUGAAUGUUAGGUCUAUCAAAAUGCAAUGAAAGGAUGCAAUCUGACUACCUUUCCCUACAUUUCUGCAAGAGUCUGUUUCCAGGACUUGAACCUGUGACGGUCACAAGGCAGCACUUUUACCACUGCGCCAAGGAAAUGAAGGGGGACCUCAUGGCGCAAAUGCUAUAUUUCGCUAAGUGCAGGCAAUAGUGAGCGGUCAGAUCCUCCUAUCCAUUGCCUUAAGCAACAAACAUCAGUAAAUCACACAACUAGGAUGGCUCAAAAUAAGUGCACCCACAUGCCGCUUCCACUAGUACUAGCAAAAUAUGGUGAUGUUCGCUCGAGAAAAUAACAAGUUGGAGAAACCACAACUCCUAGCUCCAGAAAAGCUGACUAAAGUUAUCAGACUGAUUGAAAAAAGUAUUGUUGCGAAAAGUCCAUGAAUUCUAAAAAAUCCCAUUAAUAUUAAAUAUUUAUCAAUUACAAAAAAUUCAAAAAAUAUAAAAAUAUAUUAAAGAAUUCUUCAAAAAUGCUCGCAAAUUUAAAAUAUUUGUGAAUCUAAAAAAUGUUCACAAUCUUUUAAAAUAUUCAUGAAUUCAAUAAAAUUCCAAGAAUAAAAUAAACAAAGAAAACAAUAAAAUGAAUAAAGGAAACGAAACAUAAAGAAAAAAUGUAAAAGAAAGACCGGUAGAAAACCUUAAAAAACGCUGAUAAAACAGGAGGACAAAAUCGCUAGCUGGCUCAGCCCACGACAGCGAUUUCUAACAAUGGGCAGCGCUUUGUCUUGCUUCGUGCGAGACAGAAGAUCCCCUCGCCUCAAAUGCUUCCUUAAUUGCCCGGCCCAGCGCGCAGGAGCGUUGCCUCCUUUUUGUUAUUAUUACUUUCAUUUACAUAUUUUACCCCUAAAAAACUUUUACUUACAUUUUUGAAAUGGAAAAUGCCACUAUAAUUAUAGGACUGUGAUAUUUGGCACACAUGUGCCAUAUAAGCAAAACUGCCACACCUCUACUUCUUUCAUUUUAAAGUACCACACGAUCCCUCGUCCUUUGACCUCGCCUCCUCCCAAACGACCCCGCAGGCUCGCCCGAGAAACCUGCUUCUCCCGCACAUCUCGGGCGCCCACCCCCGAGAAAACUGCCACUUCUUCACGUCUACCACAUGAUUUCUCCUCAGGACAAAGUUACCAUGGUAUUCGUAUGCAAGUUAUCAGGCCUGUGUUGCAUAACUUACCGUGCUAUUUACAUAGAACGUACCAGGUGUCUAUGCUUCAACAACUACAUCCCUUCAAAGUUACCACUGUGUUUUGUACACAAAUUAUAAGGUCUUCGAUGUGUAAAAUACCGUGGUACUUACACAUAAGUUAUCAGGGUAUAUGUACAUCAACCUCCCCCCGCUCAAAGUUACCAUGAGGGAUUGUACAUGAGUUACCGGGUCUACAGUUCGUAUAUUAUCAUGGUACUUGCACCUAAAAACCUGGGUGUGUUUCGGUAGCUUUUUCCAUAGGUCAAAAAUUACCACGAUGUUUUUGCGUAACUUAUCACGCCUAUAGCACGUGUGCCCCUCAUGACACUAAACAUUAUGUGACUUUCCGGUGGCACGCCAUGUGUUAUGUUCAUCCAAGAGGCCCACGCGCGAGGCGAGUGUAUGUUUUUAACAACUUAGUUUCCUUUGGUAAAAACGUUACCAUCAUGUUUAUAUUGCAAGUUAUCGGUUAUGCAGUGCUUAUAUUAUCAUGUUAUUUACACAAAAAAUAUUGGGGAUGUUUUGAACAACUUUUUACCGGGACAAAAAGUUAUCAUGGUGAUUCUAGGUAACCUAUCAAGCCCGUAGUGCUUAAAAUAUCAUGCUAUGUACACAAAAUUUAUCAGGGGUAUGUUUCAGCAAAUCCCGCCCCCCACGGGUCAAAAACUUAUCAUGGUGUUUAGUUAUCGCAGUACAUAUGUUUUCAUGCUAUUUACACAUGAAAAUGCCAGGGGAGGGAGGUAAACUACCGUGCUAUUUACACAGAAGAUACCGGAGUAUCUUUUCAAAAAAAAUCCCUACAGUCAAAGUUACCAUGGUGUUUCUACCUCAGUUAUCAGAUGUGCGCUGCGUAUAUUACCAUCUAUUUACACAUAAAUUAUCGGGUAUCUUUUCACAUUUGUCUUCCCCAAUGGUUAAAGUUACCAUGAUGUUUGUAUCUAAAUUAUCAGGUCUAUGGCGUGAAUGUUAUCGUGCUAUUUACAGAAAUUACCGGGGGGCGGGUUCAACAAAUUUAUUCCCAAUGAUCAAAGUUACCACGAACAUGUCAAAAACAGUAUUUCCCUUAGCUUGCUCAACAAUGAGUGUCAUAGGUGAGGUGGUUAGCUCCCUUUAUUGAUUACCUGCAGACCAGAGAUCAAAUCCUAGUCCAAGCAUUAUUUUUGCCGAAAAUCGGGAAGGCGUGUGGGCCAUAAUUGACGAUUACGAAAAUUAGGAAGGCACGAGCGGGUGUGCCGGGGGGGAGGGCAUGCGAGAAAGGAAAGAAAUCGGAGGAGGUAGGUGGGGGAAGACAUGCGGGAAAGGAAGGAGAUCGGGAGGCGUGCGGGAAAGGAAAGAAAUCGGGCGGACGUGCGGGGAAGGAAGGAGAUCGGGAGGGAACUGACGGUGCUGGAUGCGUGUGGCAGUUUCGCAAUCUGUCACACGGUUGCCAUAUACAUAUUUCGAUAAUUAUAUGUUAAAAUAAAUUCAUCAAACGUUAUUUUUUUUCAUCCACAGUUAAAAACUAUUCGUGCAACUUUUAAAAAAUGUUUAUACAUUCAAAAAAACUUUCUGACAUUUUAAAAAUGUUUAUGCAUUGUAAACAAGUGUUGGUACCGUUAAAAAACUAGUCAUGAUAUUUAGAAAAAUCACACUUUCAAAAAAUGUUCAUGACAUCCACAAUAAAUGCUUAUACAACGUAAAAUAUUGUAUGCAUAAGUCUAGAAAAUGUUUUGUACCAUUAAAUUUAACGUAGUUGACAUUUAAAAAUUGUUCAAACAUUCCAAAAAAUAAUCGUGAUAAGUUAACAAAAACUGCACAAUGUAAAUAAAUGUUCGUAUAAUAUGAAAAAACUAUUUCAUACCACUCAAAGAAAUGUCCACGCAUUUUAAUAAAAAAUUUCAUGAAAUGUUAAAAAAAUAAUACAUUGUACAAAAUGUUUGCCUAAUAUAGAAAGUAUUUGUACCAUUGAAAAUAUUCAACAUAUGCUUCAAAAUGUUUAACGGAUAUUCAAAGAAAAAAUAUCCAAACGUGUAUUUCAAAAAGAGAUAAUCAUGUAUUUUAAAAACAUUCAAUGUGUAUCAAAAAACUAUUACGUGUGCUUAGUAAAUGUACAACGUGCAUUGAAAAAGUAAACAUGUAUUUAAAAAUUAAAAAUAUUUAAAAAGAACCAUUAAAUAAAGAUGGAAAACCAACCUGAAAAUAGGAAAUAAAAAUAAAAAGGAAAGCUAGGAAACCAGUAAAACACACGCGGAAAACCGAAAACCGCAACAAAAACAGAUGAAAACCGCCAUAGAGAACACAAAAAUACACGCUAAACCUGUUAUAGAAGCUUCCCUGAAAUCCGCUCCCGAGGAGCCAUAUUAGGCCAGCCAUCUGGCUCUAUCCUAGUGCGAGACAAUACUCUGUCACAGUAGGCGACAUAUAGUUUCGCGUUUCUGCAACAAGCGAAGAAUAAGAUACUGCGUGGCCACUUACGCUUACGCACAUGAUGUAGUAGGCCGACCCAGCAAGCGGAUAUACAUCAUUUUUUUUCAUUCUGGUUUCUUUUCCGUUUGUGCCGGGUCUAGCCCUCAAAACAGAAGUUUGUUCCGAGUAUUUUAUUCAAUUUUCUGUUUUCAUUUAUGAUUUUAACUCUUUUUAUUUAUGGUUUUAGUUUUUAAUCUCCUUUUCCGUUUAUUUAUUUUUGCGAAAAGAGCCUGAAGAUCACAACUAAUAAGCCGAGACUACAACAGUAGCCCUAACAAGAAAAAAAAGUAUUAAUGUGAACAACACGAACAUCACCUUCAGGAUGGGCUGAUGGCGCACCGCCAACACCAUCGGUCCACGCCCGGAGCCAAGCCAACCAUGUAUGAACCGCCAGACUGUAAGUUGCUGGACAGGAAGUCAUCGAGCCGUCCUUGAAGGACCAACAUCCCAAAGAAGGAGACUUUGCUGCAUCUGGACCAUCGUGAACGCACGCAAAUCCGGAAUGCUUCUCAUCGGCAAUGAAGCCCGCACUGGUGAAGCAGGGAAGAAGUCCCAAAACCAAAAUCUUCUGCGUGACCGCUGCCCUGCCACGCCAACCAGACCAAGGAACCCUAACCCCGUCUCUCCGUCGGAGCGGCAAGAAUCUAAUUCCACGAGCCCUACUAGACCGCCAGAGAGGCCACUGGCCGAAGAAGGCAGGAGCUCGGGAACACACAUCGCCAGAAUGCCGCCGCCACCUACUCCAAAACGACGGCGUGACACACCCAUAUCCACACCGCAUAUACAUAACAGAGCAGAGAUUUGGGGUUCCCGCACCAACCUACCGCCGGAACGGCCGACGGUGGGGGAAGGAACUCAUGGUUUUGCCGGCGGCCGCGGGGGGAAUCGAAAGCGCCUAUCGAACCUCCUCAGGGGAAAGUGGUAACCACUAAUAAGAUUUCAAACUUCUUAUUUCCUUUUCCAUUUUAUUUUAUAUAGUUUUGGUUUAUUUUGUUUUUUUCCUUUUCCUUUUGUAAGUUUUUGUUCUUGUGUUCAAUUUUUUUCUAGUAUUCCAUUUCGUUUCUUUUUUAUUUUUGUUUAUCUAUUUCCUUUUUGAAAGUAUUUUUUAAAUACGAUGAAUAUUUUUUUAAGUGUGUGAACACUUUUUAAAACAACAUGAAUGUUUUUUUAAAGACGUGAGCACUUUUUUUUACAAUCACACGAAUAUAACUUUUAAGAACUACGUGAAUAUUAUUUAUGACUUGAAAAUAGUUUAAAAUACGAUGAACAUUUUAUAAGUUGAUGAACAUUUUUCUAAAAAUGCAUGUUUUUACGAACCAUGAUAUGUGAAACACUUUUAAAAAUUCAUGACCUUGGUUUUAAAAUUUCAUUAACAUGCUAAAAACGUGUAAACUUUGCCUCUAAAUAUGCAAACACUUUUUAAAAUUCUUAAUAAGAUUUUUAAGGGAAUGCUUAAUCAUAUUUGAAAUUACUUGUUGAAAAAAAAAUACAUGAACACUUUUUUGAUGACUUGAACUUUUUUUUAAUAAAAGAACACCUAUAGCAGCUCGCUUGUCUCUCUAGAAAAACCCGAAAUGCUCUCUCUCUCUCUCUCUCUCUCUUAAUAUUGCUACUUUAUAGUUGAGACUAAUGUUGAUUGAGCAAUUCUACAUCUAGAAAAUUUCAAAUCAAAUAAAAUCAAGGUGAUAAUCAUGGCAAGGGUUAAUUAAUUUUUUAUACCAAGGUGGGUAAUUGAGUUUAUGGUUUAUCUAUUUGUUCAUUUGGCAAAUUUAUGGAAACAAUCAUAGAUGUACAUCAUGUUAUGACAUCAACACCUAUAGAAAAUCAUUCAAAAAUAAGAGCGAGUAUGCCCUGCACAGAAAAAAAAACCCAACCUAUGUUUAAAAUUGUGCAACAAAAACCAUUAUUUUUUAUGACCAAUUUGAUUAUAUUUUCCUAAAAAUGUAUUUAAAAUGCACAUGAUUUUUUUUAAAUAGAAGGGCAUAGUAGAUGGCUAUUCUUUUGUUGUUUAUUUUUUGUGAAAGAUGGCGGGUUUUCCCUCAACUUUUCCUUAGGACAUAUUUGAUUGUGAACAAUAAUUCAUGGCUAGAUUUCUACAACUAACAAUCAUAGUCUAGACGAAGCACUGAAAAACUAAUCCAUAUUAGUGAGACAUAUAUGGCAUGAAACACUUGUAGUUUUAACCCUGGUAGGCUAGGAGUACAAUCACAUGAGCUAAUUAGCCACUGGACCAAUGGCUGGUGUACCUUUUGAAGGCUCAUAGCUUAUCUCUGAGAUACAAAGUUUUUAUUUCUACAACAAAAGGAGACAAUACAAUUUUAUAUAGUUGGACACUAUGAUCGACUUUUUUUGCAAGAUAACAUGGGGNNNNNNNNNNGGGGUAAGGCAUCGUCAAAUUUGAAGUAACUGGAUUCUUACACAUAGUUUUACCAUUCCUUUUAAGAAAACUAAGGGUCCUAAAAGUUAAAACGAUAGAUGCAUUUCUUAGUGUUUUGAGGCCAUCAACCGUCUGAUUGCAUCACCAACGAACCAGAUCUUCGGUCAUCCCAAAGCGUGCACCCUGGCCUCGUUCAACACGCUGCCCUGCCCGAUCCAGUUGGCGCAAUGUAAACGGGCUGCUGCUCCACAGACCAACUAUGCUAUCUUGACGUUGAUUUGUGUUUUUAGCGGGUUUGCGGAUGAGCAAGUUGCUAUGCGCCCUGUUUGGAAGUCGGGCGUAGAGGGCAACCUCUUGUGUUUAACCAAUUGUGUACCCUUUUUGUCCCAACCUCUAUGUCCCACGGCAUCCGUGAACCGUAGGUGUCACAGCCGCCGCUAUCAUCGGCCCUGGGCCUAGGCUCCGAGUGCAGCCGCCUAGGGCCCGGCCACGGCAAGGGCCCAUACCUUGUGUACGUUUGCUUGUUUUUUAGAGAGAAGUUUGCUUGGUAUUUACUAAUACUAUGUCAUAGAAGAUAGAAGAAGAAAAGAAGUCGAUCCAGCAGGCCUAGCCCAGUAGGAGAUAGGCAUUUUAUACUGGUACUAGCAUUACUACAAAUCGAUCGAGUAUUACAAGCUGAGACGUUAAAUGAUGUCUCAAUUGUUCUAAUUCUUUAAGCGUUUAAAUAAACGCCUCUUGUACUAGAAAUGGCUGAACUUUUGUACCAAAAUUCAUAUUUACACAGAAAAAACCAUGUGGAAUUGUGGUCAGAAUUAUUUUUGCAUGUAUUUCCGUUUCAUCAUUUGGGUGUAUGCAUGCAUCCUACCUAUGAAGAGGCCGGAUGCGUGUUUAUUGUAUUCGUAUGCACUUAAGUCGAUAAAAGCUACCGUUGGCUUCAUUGUGUUUCAUCAUCAUUUGCUUCAUUUUAAGUCGAUAAAAUCUGUUCUUUGUCGAAAAUUUCUGUUCACCGCGUACAGGUGAGCUCGAUCGAGCAUGGAGUCGAGACUUGCCAACAGCAUACACCAAUCUACUAACUGUCCCAAAUUCAGGCCUAGUACAAACGCACCUUUUCCUCCAGAUCAUAGUACCGGAGCUUGUCGAGGUACUUGGCCAGCUUGACCGCCUGUUCCUGGACCUCCGUGAUCUGCCGCGCCAGCUCCUGGUUCCCGAUCAUGACCCCCGAGGUGGCUCCGGCGGUCACGGAGCCAAGGACGAGGUUGGCUCGACUCAGCUCGUGGACGAGAUGCUUCACAUCCUUGUUGAAACCUUCCGACCCCAGCAGUGCUUGGAUGGCAGCGUCUUUGAGGUGGUCGAGCAGCUUGUUCAGCACCCAUGUCGUCGCCGCCGCUGCGAGGAAGAUGGGAUCCAUUUCUCGACCAAGGCGAGGAGAAUCCAAGGACGACUAGUCCGGCGUACUGUUCGCGGUUUCAUUUAUUACGCUCACCGGCCAAAUUUUGUAGGAUCGGAAGAUGAUUGCGUUGGGUGGGAGCGAUACGCGUCGCCUCUUCCACAGCCACAUGUCGCGUGGUUCCGCUCUCUUCCCCAUCGUGGCCCCUCGAACGACCUUUCCUUACCUCUCAUUUUCUUUCUUUUGCUCUCGCUUCCUGUACUGCUACCUCCCUCCUAAUCUAUUGGUCUUUUUAGUAUUUUAUACAUAAAAUUUUUUGAUCAUAAAUUUAACUAAAAAAAUAAUAAUGCAUGUCAAAAAAUUAUAUCCUUUGGUUCGUAUUUGAACAUAGUUUUUAAUGAUAUUAUUUUUUGUUACAUGCAUUAAUAUUUUGUUAGUUAAAUCUAAGACCAAAAUUUAACACAAAAAUGCGAAGGGGACUAAUAAACCAGGAAGAAGGCAGUAUACUGCACCGAAUGAAGUACAAACGACAUGUAUGCAGUUAGACCUGUAAUUAGAUGUCUUUACCCAACAUGGUGACGGCAUAGUCUUCGGAUUGGUCCACCACCUCCUUCGACAUAGGCAUAGUGUUGAAUCUAUAUGACUAUAGUUGCUGAUAUGUCGGCUUUUAUCUUCCUUAAGUUUGUUAAUAUUUGGUUCUGUGCAUCUUAGUUAUGCAAAGGCCUGUUAUAGUUUCUUGAGGCUAUAUUUUGAGUCAAUAAAAAUACCCUUUAUCAAAAAAAUCAUCGCAAUGUGCCCUCACCUAUGACCACACAUAAUCGACGCCUGCUACUGCUGCUCCUCUCCCCGUCCCCCAUGGUACUCCUUCAUUUAUCUCUAAACCAACAGCUCUCGACCGUUUUAUAGAUAAAGUACAGGCCAAGAAACUCUUUUACAAAGAAGAUCCUAGGAUAAUUAGAUCAUUCAUAGCACACGUCUAUGCUACCAAAGUAGAAAACACCUGAAUUCCAUGACAACGUCCUCAGAAUGGGAUACGGUCAAGGUUCUGAACAAUGGAUAGGAAAUUCCUGUUCAUCAUGUGCCCACUGGCUGGAACAAGGUACAUACACAAUGCAAUAAGUAGAAAGUACUUCUUGAACUUAUCCCUCUCCAUUAUUCCUGGCAGCUUGUCAACAAAGUGCUUAACCGGCUUUCCACUGCCUCUUGCCUCUUCUCUGAAUUCCUUUUCUUCUUCGGUUGGGUCCCUAACCUUGUGGUUGCCAGGUCCAUGACGAGGCAUUAAAACUUCUAUCCUACCAUCUGAUUAGCAGUGUUUUCUUCUUUCAAUCAACUUGGUCAAUCAGCCAAAGAGUUAUGACUCUUGGGAGGCGGCAAUUUGACAUAUCUAAAAAGUGAGCAAACCCAAGCUCAACCACACAUUCUCUCUGCGUUUCAUUUAGUGGUUUAACAAUUUCAUGAACUUGAUGAGGCGCACACUUGAACCCAAUGACUUGUAAAAUAUUCACUUAUGUUAAUUGAUUGCAGCAUUUAUGUUUAGCAAGCUAAUUACAAGCAACAUGGAGAGCGGUUAUUUUGGAUGAGUUGUACAUACCGGUCUAUGCUCAACGUUAGAUUGUCUACUAGCCUUCCUGACCCUGCCAGGCAAUGAUUUCCUCCUGUUACGGCAUUUUCUUGUUCUUCUUUGGUUCAACUACUUCCUCAUCUAUGCUGUAAUCUGAUCCUUUAGACUCGGAGCUGGACUCCACGAUCUUGACACACUUCUUCUUUUUAAUCUUCUUCCUCUGCUUAGCAUGCUCACCGUUAGAACUUGGGCCAUCUCUUCCGUCCUUUGGCUUCCUCUUUCUUUUAGUGCGCUCGCUUUCUGACAUAUAAUCUCUUCUUCCUUUCACCUUCCUAUCCCUUUCAAACCAUUCAUCCCUUUCAUAUGAAGCAUGUCUCCUUCCUUUCAUCUUCCUCUUUCUGUCGAUAUCCUCACUCUCUGAAGUAGAUUCAGAUUCAUUGCUUUGCACCUCCUUCUUUGACUAUGCUUUUGUUUUUGUUUUCUUCCUGUCUUGAUUGUGUUCACUUUCUGACCUGUUGUCAUGCUUCCUACGAUGAGACUUGCUUCUUUUAUCACGGUUGUAAUGAUCUUCCUCGCUUUCAGAUAGGUCCUCAUCGUAUUUACUGUGUUUUCUUCUUGUUUUCAGGGCUUCCUUUAUACCUGCCCGUGCUCUGCUUCCUCAAAUCAUGCAAUGGUUCUUUAGACUCUGUUUUCUCUGAUUCGCUAUCAGGUAUAUCAAUUUUACGUCCUUUUUGUAAAUCUAGGCGAUCUACGUGCGAGAAGCUCAUUUCCAGAUAGAUUUUCUUCCAUAUUAUCCAGAGUUCAGUGAACAUGCAAUCCACUUAGUAAUCAAAUAAUCUACUAAUCAAAGCAUGAAUGAAAAAUACGAAUACCAUGCCAAACUAUAAGAUUGGCAAAAAAAUUAUGAAAUUGCAUCGGGCAUAUACAGCCCCACAGUCCUUCAACGACAAAACCCCAAAGAUUUCUGGAAUUCAUACAAAAUGUAGAAAUAAACAAAUGAAAAAUGCCCCCCGCCCCACACACACACACAAAAAUAGCAAUUCUCACUAGACAACAACUACACAAUAACAUGCUGCGCUCGAAGCAAGAUCUGUUAUAUGCUCACGAUAUUCCGUGGAUUUCUUAUAUGUUGAGAACCGGGAAAUUGCAUCGACCACAGACCGUAUCAAUUGCAUGGAAUGAUGGGACUGAUGGAUAUUUGGGAUUCGAGUUCCUCCAUCUAACAAAUUGAAAGCGGCAACAUAUAAUGAAGGGGUUCGACUUUGUUACUAUCGGCUGAAAGCACAAGUGCUCCCUGUGUGAUUUUUGGCAAUUAAUAUCAACAUAUCUCUUGUUGGACUAAUUGUUUUAUCUAGUAUAUUUCAGACAAGUUCAACAGUGGCAUGGCAAGUACAAGAGUACGUGGAACCCCUUCAAAAUGCUAAGGCCUAAGGACAUACAUUGGCAAGAGCUCAAGACUCUUCAUCUUUAUUUUAGUGAUCCAAGAUCAAAUUGAGUCCAUAGGAAAGCCAAUACUAUUAAAAGGGGACGAGAUAUUGCUUAAUGGCUUGCUUGCUCAAAUGCUUAGUGAUAUUGCUCCAAAACCCUCAACCACUUUCUCCAUCCAAAUAUGUCCAAAACCUAAACUCCUACUCGGCCCAUCGAUUCUUUCUAUCCGGAGCCACCAAGUUCAUAUGACAUAGCCACUGCCAGAAACCCUAGCAAUCCGGUCUCACCGAUAUGGAUCUCGGUCUCACCGAGAUGGCCUUGCUAGCGCUAUGUGACUUGUUGCAUUUAUUUCGGUCUUGCCGAGUCUAUGCAAUCGGUCUCACCGAGCUCGCUUGACAGACACUCUAUUGCUCGUUGCUUCACUUCGGUCUCACAGAGUUGAUGCAAUCGGCGCCACCGAGUUGAUGUUUGCCCUAAGCCCUAGCACAUCAGUCCCACCGAGUUGUUCCAGUCGGUCCCACCGAGAUUCCUAACGUUCACAUUUUGAACAAAUUGGUGCCAUCGAGUUUAACCAUUUGGUCUCACCGAGUUGAGUCAAAUGUGUUUAAUGGUUGGAUUUUGUGUGGAGGCUAUAUAUACCCCUCCACCCCUUCUCCAUUUGUGAGAGAAUCAUCAGAACGUGCCUACACUUUCACUACUCAUUUUAUGAGAGAGAACCACCUACUCAUGUGUUGAGAUCAAGACAUUCCAUUCCUACCACAAGAUUCUUGAUUUCUAGCCUUCCCCAAGUUGUUUUCCACUCAAAUCUUCUUUCCACCAUAUCCAAAUUUGUGAGAGAGAGUUGAGUGUUGGAGAGACUAUCAUUUGAAGCACAAGAGUAAGAGGUUCAUCAUCAUCAACACACCAUCUAUUACCUUUUGGAGAGUGGCGUCUCCUAGAUUGGUUAGGUGUCGCUUGGGAGCCUCUGUUAAGAUGUGUUGAGAUCGCCCCGCUGUGAGCCCCCUGCGCCAUGGCCGCACCCUCGAUCGAUCGAGCCCGCCCGCGCACACACACACACACACACACACACAUGUACAUGCGCGCGCGCACAUACACACACACACACAUACACACACACACACAUACACACACAUUUUUCUUACUUAUUUUCUGUUUUUUAGUUUUUUAUAUUUUUAGUUAUAGAAAUGUUAUAUGAAUUAGAAAUAUAUAUAAAUGUUAGAUUAAUGUCAAAGUUUUAGCUAGCUAGAUGAAUUAGAUUAAUGUCAAAUUGUUAAUUAGAUGAUCGAAUUAGAUAUAUUAAUAUCAAAUGUUAGAUGAAUUAGAUAGAAAUGUUAGAUUAAUGUCAAAUGUUAGAUGAAUUAGCUAGAUAAAAAUGUUAGAUGAAUUAGUUUCUUAUACUUUUAGUUAUAGAUUAAUUAGAUAUAUUAAUGUUAGAUGAAUAAGUUUUUUUAUACUUUUGUCAAAUGUUAGACGAAUUAGCUAGAUAUAUUAAUGUUAGAUGAAUUAGCUAGCUAGAUAUCAUAUGUCAAAGUUUAAAUUUUGACAUAUGCAACAUUUGAUUAUAUAUAUUAAUUGAUCAUAUGUCAAAGUUUGAAUUUUGACAUAUGCAACAUUUGAUCAUAUGUCAAAGUUUGAAUUUUGACAUAUGAUAUUAAGAAUGCCCCCAUAUGAUAUAUUCUUCUAUAUGUCACGUUGUCUGCCAAAGUAUUGAAAAAUCCAUGGCUUCAUCAUUAGCCGGAAGUAACAGGCAUAUGAUGCUACGAAGCUCUUCAAAGUUGUUUUGAAAAGGAGUUCUGGAUAGAAUAAUUCACUUUUUUGGUACGAAUUUCAGCAAAGGCUUUCCAAAUAGCGAUAUUCGGAAGGCUUUACUGAACUUUGUACCAAAAAGCGAAUUAUCCUAUCCGGGACUCUGUUCUAAAACAAUUUUGGAGAGCUUCGUACCAUUAUGCGGUUGUUACUUCCGGCUAAUGAUGAAGCCAUGGUUUUCUUGAAUCCUUUGACACUAGACAACGUGACAUAUAGAAGGGUAGAUGAGAUCAGGAAAAAUAUGGAUCAUUUUCUGCACAUCCAGAAUGGCGCCAUUUUGUUAAAUCCCUUAAAGGUUAAGAGAAUCCGUUAUGUUACAUUUGCAUAUAUAAUUUGUAUAUAAGAAAUCACAAUCCAAUCAUUUAAAAAUGUUACAUUUGCAUAUAGAAUUUGUUCUCGACGUCAACGAUGCCUGGCCCGCAUCCUCGUCGUCGACCCGUUCGCGACGACGCCCUGCUUCAGAGGAGCCAUGUCCGGGACUGGGCUCCGCCGGGCUGGCACUGGGAGGUGCUACCUUAAGGGGCGCGCUGCUUGGUGAGGAACCCGGCUCCGGGUCCCGUCGGCGACCCGGAGCUCCUUUGGUGGCGUUCGCGUGAGCCACUUUCGGUGCGGAGGGAGCCGGCCCCGCCGGAGGUGGUACGUCGCCGUUUCAGGGAGGAGGACGAGCACGUCCGUCGCUACAUGGCUGCUAUGGACGUCAGGUUCUCCAAUACCUGGCAGGUUCUUCGGGGAUCUCACCCGAGCUAUGAUCCUGUGAUGGUUCCUUCUCUUUGGGUGUCCACAGCCCGCGCCUCAGGAACCGUUAGUGAACUAGAUUAUUCGAUAGUAUACGAUCUAUAUUAGCUAGCUAGUGAUGUAUUCGAUAAUAUUCGAGACGAUGUACUCGAGAUUAUAUAUAUUAUUCGAUAAUAUUCGAGACGAUGUAUUCGAGAUUAUAUUCGAUGAUGCAUAUUAUGUACUAUGAUUCAAUUUUUCCUUAUUGAUUGCAUGCAUGCAUUGUAAUUUGAAUACUAAAAUGUUUUAUUUUUCUUCUGGAUUAGUUAAAUAAAAGCUAUGGACAAUACCGGCAGAGAAGGAGAGGAGGCCCUGUUCAACAUCAUAAGCUCAUCCCCUCGCCCAGAUGAGUUUGAAGAAGAUGACGGCUCGCAAUAUCUGAACCCUACUGGUGAGGGUAUGAUAUUUGAUGAAGACGAACGAAUAGAUGAAGUCCAGAACUAUGAUUAUGAUUAUGAAGAAAUGUUGAUCUUGAAAUAACAAAGACCGGCGAGGUAUAUUUAUAUAAGUGAUAACCCACAAGUAUAGGGGAUCGCAACAGUUUUCGAGGGUAGAGUAUUCAACCCAAAUUUAUUGAUUCGAUACAAGGGGAGCCAAAGAAUAUUCUCAAGUAUUAGCAGUUGAGUUGUCAAUUCAACCACACCUAGAUAACUUAGUAUCUGCAGCAAAGUAUUUAGUAGCAAAGUAGUAUGGAAGUAACGGUAACGGUGGCAAAAGUAACAACAGUAGUAUUGUAGCAAUUGUAACACUGGCAACGAUAAAGUAACUAAACGAGGAACAAUAUGUGAAAAGCUCGUAGGCAUUGGAUCGGUGAUGGAGAAUUAUGUCGGAUGCGAUUAUUCAUGCAACAGUUAUAACAUAGGGCGACACAGAACUAGCUCCAAUUCAUCAAUGUAAUGUAGGCAUGUAUUCCAAAUAUAGUCAUACGUGAUUAUGGAAAAGAACUUGCAUGACAUCUUUUGUCCUACCCUCCCGUGGCAGCGGGGUCCUAAUGGAAACUAAGGGAUAUUAAGGCCUCCUUUUAAUAGAGUACCGGACCAAAGCAUUAACACAUAGUGAAUACAUGAACUCCUCAAACUACGGUCAUCACCGGGAGUGGUCCCGAUUAUUGUCACUUCGGGGUUGCCGGAUCAUAACACAUAGUAGGUGACUAUAGACUUGCAAGAUAGGAUCAAGAACUCACAUAUAUUCAUGAAAACAUAAUAGGUUCAGAUCUGAAAUCAUGGCACUCGGGCCCUAGUGACAAGCAUUAAGCAUAGCAAAGUCAUAGCAACAUCAAUCUCAGAACAUAGUGGAUACUAGGGAUCAAACCCUAACAAAACUAACUCGAUUACAUGAUAAAUCUCAUCCAACCCAUCACCGUCCAGCAAGCCUACGAUGGAAUUACUCACGCACGGCGGUGAGCAUCAUGAAAUUGGUGAUGGAGGAUGGUUGAUGAUGACGAUGGCGACAGAUUCCCCUCUCCGGAGCCCCGAACGGACUCCAGAUCAGCCCUCCCGAGAGAGAUUAGGGCUUGGCGGCGGCUCUGUGUUGUAAAACGUGAUGAAUCCUUCUCUCUGGGUUUUUUCUCCCCGAACGUGAAUAUAUAGAGUCGGAGUUGAGGUCGGUGGAGCACCAGGGGGCCCAUGAGGCAGGGGGCGCGCCCCAGGGGGGUGGUCGCGCCCCCUACCCUCGUGGACAGGGUGUGGGCCCCCUGGCCUUGAUUCUUUCGCCAGUAUUUUUUAUAUAUUCCAAAAAUAUUCUUCGUUGAUUUUCAGGUCAUUCCGAGAACUUUUAUUUCUGCACAAAAAUAACACCAUGGCAAUUCUGCUGAAAACAGCGUCAGUCCGGGUUAGUUCCAUUCAAAUCAUGCAAGUUAGAGUCCAAAACAAGGGCAAAAUUGUUUGGAAAAGUAGAUACGUUGGAGACGUAUCAUUAAGCAGGCAUCUGGUGAUCAUCACAUGUUUUAAAUGAUUUGUAUAUAUAUUAACGAAUCGAUAUUUCUUCUUUCAGCCCACCGGAUGGAACAAAUCUUCUACAGGCAGCAGGACAGUGCGAGGCCCGGCCAAAAAGUUGAAGGAUGGCGUAAAGUACAACAUCGAUGCCAUCAAACCUAAUGGCGAACCAAGCGAACCUAAGAAGAAUGCGGGCAAGUUCAUUCGUCAGUGCGGAGUUCUUGUGAAGGACCAAAUCCCGAUCUCCAUUCAAGAAUGGAAAAAGGCAGCAAAGGAACGUCCGGAUCUCACUUUUGUCGACCAAAGAGCAAAAGAUCUGCUUUGGAAAUCUCUCAUGUCACAUUUCACCCUACCAGAUCAUUUCACAGAUGCAGAUGUGCAGAAAGUCAAGGAUGCUGCUCUUAGGAAGAUGGCAGUUGCAUUCAACAGCCACAAGAAAAGUAUAUGAGCCAAGUACGUCGAAGGAGGAAAGAAGACUCCAGAAUUUACGGGAACACUAGAGAAGCAAAGAGAUCACUGGCCCGCUUUCGUGAAAUUCAAGGAAUCGGAAUUAUCUAAGGAACGGUCGAGAGUAAACAAGCUCAAUGCCGCGAAAAAGGAGCAUUGCCAUAGGCUGGGGCCAGGUGGCUACGCGGUGGCCCGGCCUAAGUGGGAUAAGCCUAAGCAACAGAUGGUGGAUGCAAGGAUCAUUCCAGUUACAUUAAGCUGGCCCCCAGGUGCAGGACUUGGUUCUAUGCGCAUGGGGGGACGUUGGACCCAAAGACAGGCCAGGUUUUGGAGAAGGCAAGUCUUAAAGGAGCCGACCUCAAAAUACUUGUUGCAAUAGAAGAGGCUCGAACGGGGGUGUUCACGCCCAACAGAGAGAACGACGAGUUUACGCGCGCCCUGGGAAAUCCUGAACACCCGGGAAGAACACAAGGCAAAGGUGUUGUUCCGUGGUAUGAGGGGUUUGCGGACUGGAAUGCCGACUACAGAAGCCGUGCGAGAAAGAAGAUGAAGGAGGAGAAGAAGAGGAAGCUGGAGGAGGAGCAGAGGAAGUAGGAAGCAGAACGCCUUAAAGGCCUAGAAUCAGCACACACGGAGUUGUCACUCCAAUUCCAGCAGCAGCAGUAGCAGAUCGACUCACUUAGCAAAGAAAGGGGGUCUCAGCAGCGGCAACAGCUAGCGGAUCCAGCAUUGUAUAGCACCGUCCCAUCCACGCCGAGAAGCAGCGUGGGUUUCGCCCCAGGUGAGGCACUGCUAGAUAGAUACCCUGUGGACGACAUCAUGGAUAACACUAAUUGUGAGCUACACUUCAAAAUGAAGAACAUAUCCAUGAAGGUGGCGGAUGCCGUUGCUUAUACAAAUCCCCCCUGAAGCAACCUUCCAUUGCAACCCGAUUCCAGCUAGCUAUGCUCGUGUCAUGGUUGAUGAAGUGGUGGCACGAUAUUCAGGGCUAGAGCUUGACAUUCCUUGAGGUGACGACAAGCACACACUGGGAGAGGCCAUACAUCGUAUCAUUCUAUGGAUAAAGGAUUGCAUCAUCUUUCCAAGGCCUCCGACACCGCGUCAGCCGACUCCUCCUCCAAGUCCGCCACCGCAUCAGGAGACUGUCGCUCCUCCUAGUCAUCAACCAUCGCCUCAGCAGAGUCCUGCUCCUUCAAGUCCCCCAACGCGUCAGGCCACUCCUCCUCCUCCAAGUCCGGCACCGCGUCAGCCCACUCCUCCUCCUCCAAGUCCGGCAACACGUCAGCCCACUCCUCCUCCUCCAAGUCAGGCACCGUGUCAGCCGUCUCCGCCGCCUCAGCGGGCUACGCCACCUAAGCAACAAUGGAAGAGAGUCGCCGCAGCUAUGGUGGCUAGCAGUACAAGUACAGGUACAGGAGGCAAGAGAUUCCAAUUUGGUCCAAGCCUAACGCCUCUUCCGAAGAGGCCUUACGACAUGACCAACGAGGAAAACGAAGCCGAAUGCAGGGCCCAAUUGGACGCCCAUUUUGGACCGAAACCACCACCGCCGCCAAAGGAGAAAGUGCCUGAGCAUGUCGUUGACCACUUUAUUCGUAUGGCUAAAGCACCAGCUCCCAAGCCUAUUGACUCAGACUAUGAGCGCCAAAUCAGGAAGGCAUAUAAAGCACAACAAAAGAAGGAGUCGAGCUCGAGCUCCAGCCAAGCAGCUGCCAAAAAAGCGGGAAAACUGUUCCCCAGCUGGGAGAANNNNNNNNNNNNNNNNNNNNNNNNNNNNNNNNNNNNNNNNNNNNNNNNNNNNNNNNNNNNNNNNNNNNNNNNNNNNNNNNNNNNNNNNNNNNNNNNNNNNNNNNNNNNNNNNNNNNNNNNNNNNNNNNNNNNNNNNNNNNNNNNNNNNNNNNNNNNNNNNNNNNNNNNNNNNNNNNNNNNNNNNNNNNNNNNNNNNNNNNNNNNNNNNNNNNNNNNNNNNCUCAUUGUACCAACACAUGCGAGUACCGGCGCCGAUCGGUUGGUAAUAACCGACGAUCAUAGAAGGCAGGAUGCAGAGAUCGGUAUCACUGUUUAUCAACUCCUAGAGAUCGAGCCCAUGGAUACGAAUAGAGAGGAGGACAUAAAACAGAAAUAUGCCCGCGGCGAACCUAUGGUCAAGCCUGAGGAGGUCAAGAAGCUCCAACGAGAAUGUAUGAAUUGAUUCAAUGGUACAUGAAAAUUGCCAAAACUACCAAUCGAGAGUCCCUCAUGGUGAAAGUCAAGCCAGAGUAUUACUACCAUGGGAAUGAUCUGUAUGUUGAGUUUACAGAACUAGUUCAGUUAUUCAAUCAAGACGCACUCGACAAAUCUAUCGUCAGUUGCUAUUGUCUGUAAGUGAUUUCUUUCUGUAAUUUAAGUCUCAAGCUGCUAGCGGUAGUGCUCGUUGAUCAUUACCUGUAAUUAUCCUCACUAUAUUCUUUUCUAUGGUAUUAUGCAGGAUGAAGAUGUAUGAAAUGAAAAAAGCUGGACGCUAUGGCAUUGGGUUCAUUGACCCAAAUACCAUUAAUCAAGAGACAUGGACGCAUCCAUGGGAACAAAAAGACACAGAGAAAAGCUUGCUAGAGUUCUUGAAGCUCCUAAAUACCAAUCGAGAUAUAAUACUUCCUUACAACUUCGGGUGAGUCUCACACUGUCUUGUAGUACAAAUUCUGUUUUUGCUUACGAGCUAGAUGUUAAUAAGUGUAUAGGGUUUAGGAUAGUUAAUGAGUGUUAGUCACAUGUCCGCUUAAUUUAUACAUGCAAACGUGUGCGCAUGCAGUUUCCACUGGAUCUUGUUAAAUAUUCAAGUUGAAGAUGAAAAAGUUGAAGUACUGGACUCACUACUUAAACCAGUUACUGAGUACGAAAUCAUGAAGGGGAUAGUCAACAGGUAAUUUCAAUCAUUAUCAAACUAUAUAUGUUGGCCUAUUUAGUUCGUCAUUUCCUGAUAUCAACUAAUUAAUAACUCAUUUAUUCAUUUUCUUUGCCGGCGGGCAGGGCUUCGGAAAAGUUCAUCAAACAGAUUCCAGGCCAAUGAAAACAACAGCUAAAAUAAUGUCGACCGAAGGUAAUUAAUUAAGUAGUACUAGCUAGCUACCAUCUCUUUAAUUCUAGUUUCAAUACCAUUAAUUAUCAUGCUUGAUUAAUUAUUAUCUGAUUGAAUUCUAUUCUCGUAAAGGCCCUGAAGCAGGCUCCGGGGACUGAUUUAUGUGCAUACUACGUUUGCGAGAACAUUUGCAUGAUGACGUCCGAAAGGAGUAUAUCUGAUAGACAGCUAUGGGUACGUUUGCCAGAACACUAUUCACAAUUUUUACAUCAUUAUUGAUAUCUAAUAUAUAUACACACAACUAAUACAUGCAUAUUUGAUCUCCUUCUUUAAAGUUCAACGAGAUGCGGGAUAAACUCCUACCAACGGAUCGCGUACGAGCAAUUCAAGAGGAAAUAGCGGGGUUUUUGCUCGACCAGAUCAUAGAUCCCAAAGGAGAAUUUCAUUACCCGCUACUGCAGUAAUGCCUCCAUGUUGGAGAAAUUGUAUAUACCAAAUUUCAUAUGGUCGGUUCUACGAGAAAUUCUAUAUAUGCAUAACGUGUACAAUAUGUAGUAUCGUAAAAUAGCAGCAAAUGAAAAAUAAUUAAAUGGAAAACACAAAAUUAAAAAAAUAAAUCAUAAACCCAAAAAACCCUAAACCUUUUAGUACCGGUUGGUGUUACCAACCGGUACUAAAGGUCUCCCAUCCCUCGGCGCGGGCUCGUGCCACGUGGUGGACCUUUAGUGACGGACUGACGGUUCGUGUUGAACCGGAACUAAAGGGGGGCCCUUUAGUCCUCACCCUUUAGUGCCGGUUACAGAACUAGCACUAAAGGUCCUUUCGAACCGGGAUUAAAUCUCAGUUUUCUACUAGCACUAGUAGAAAACAGGGCUUUGGUUCGGGCAGGGCAAGCCCAUUAGUCCCGGUUCAGUCAUGAACUGGGACCCAUGGGGGCAUUCGUCCCGGUUCGUUAGCCCGGGGGGGGGGGGGCGGCCGGGGCCUUGUGGGCAUUGGUCCCGGUUCGUGGGGAUCCAUUUGUCCCGGUUCUAGGCACGAACCGGGACCAAUGUGCCUUGCUCCUGGCCCACAACCAUUGGUCCUGGUUCUUGGCUUGAACCGGGACAGAUGGCUGGGCUUUAGUCCCGGUUUCAGCCACGAACCGGGACAAAUGAGCUUCCUAUAUAUACCCCAUCGCCACAGCAGAGCACUCCACAGUGCUCUGUUUUUUCUGGCCGGCGAGGGGAGGGCAUUUGGGUGCUCUAGCUCACCUCCUAUGCAAAUGAGGUGUUCGAUGAAAUGUCUGAGCCACACUAGUUAAUCUUUCUCCUCUCGAAACUCGACCUCCGAGCUCCAUUUUCCCCGAGAUUUGUCCAGGUUUAGCGGUCUGUCACGUCCCGUCCCCGUCUUCACCGCCGUCGAUCGCCCACGCCGAUCUCGUCGCCGACACCACCGUGGUGAGCCUCUUGUUCUUAUCUUCUUUCUGAAAGAAAAAAAUUCUUACUUCAGAUAGAUACUUGUCUAAUUUUCUUACUUUUAUUAUUCCUUGUUAUUAUAUAGUGCGAUGUUUUUGGUAUCCGCCCCCGUCGUCCCUCGUCCUGUCUAUGAUUCGGAUGUGGUAUAUAUUAUCUUUUUAUAACUAUUUGGUUCAUUUAUUGUUUAUGACAAUUAUGCCGACCAACGUGACAUAUAUUUUAUUUAUCUAGGAGGUGGUUGAACUGGAAAUUCCAACCGACCCUAUUGUCGAGAGGUUAAAUUUAGUUGAAGAAGAAAACAAUUACUUGAAGGAAAAAAUAAAAAAAUGAGGAGGAGAAGAUGAUAUUGGAGUUGCAUGUUGCGAAUGUCGUCGAUGAUCACAAGAUCAAGAUGGAUGCAAUGCUGUUGAAGAUUAGAAAGAUUAGAAAAUAUGCCAUUCAUACCGAGGCUUGGUAUCAUUAUGCAGUUCGAUCAAUUGUUACCUUGGUUGCGAUUAUGAUCGCAUUUCUUGUUGCAUUGAAAUGUUUUACAUAAUUUCAAUGUAUGGUUUAAUUAGAUGCUCCGGAGAGCUAUAUAUGUUGUUCAAUUUGAUGUGGCUUUGAAUGGUGCAUUUUGAACACACAAAAAGUCAGGAGUUCAAAUAAGUUUUAAAAAAUGAAAUCCCUUUGUAACAGACGAGUUCCGUAUGAAAUCCUGAUACUUCGAAAGAGAUUGUCCGUUUUGUACACGAAGUGCAUCCAGUUUUUGCCGUAACCCUCUCAACUUUCUUGCACAUGCUAUGUGGAUGAAAUGAUGAUAUCAUGCCAACUUUCAACCUUUUCAGAGUUCAUUUAAAAUGCUUUUCAAUUUCAGAGACUUAUAGCUCAAAAUAAUCAGUAAAUGCAUGAAAAAUGGUGCAUGAAAAAUAAAAAAUAAAAUAAAUAAGUAAUUAGAAACAAAAUAAUAUAAACUUUAAUAAAAUAUAUAAGUAGAAACAAAAUAAAAUAAACUUUAAUAACAUUAAUAAAAUUUAUGAAACUAAAAUUAUCAAAGUAUUUUCUGUUCAAAACAUUAUAAGCAACCUCUAGUAUUAUUGAAACUAAAAUUUUAUAAAAUUGAUGCAACUAAAAUUAUCGAAGUAUUUUCUAUUCAAAAUCAUUAAAAGCAAAAAGAAUUUUCAUAAAGAACUUUUUUGUUAGAAACUUUAAUAGUAAAAAAUUUAUCAUAAAGUAAAAUAAAACAUAAUUAGAAACAAAACGAAAGAAAAUAAAUAAGUUUUUUGUUGUAAGUAGAAACAAAACAAAAUUAAUAAAGCAAAAAAGAAAACAAAAAAACAGGCACAAAUAUAAAAUAUGCCACCUACUAGGCCACCACGGCCUGAAUACAACUAGAAACCCAUCGAUGGGCCAGGAUUCAGGCCCGCAGAAGGCCCAAUAGGCCCAUCAGGCAUAGAAGUGACAAUUAGGCCCGUAAGCCUGCAAUGAGAGGAGCUCGAGAGGGGUGCGGCAGUGGGGCUUAUAAACCACUGCGCGCCCCUCUCAACUAGCGAGGUGGGACUAAACUUUCGACGCGGGCAUAGCAGCACAGGGCCUUUGGUCCCGGUUUGUGGCACCAACCGAGACUAAAGGGGUGCAUUGGUACCGGUUCGUAGCACCAACCGGUACCAAUGCCCCCCCCCUUAGUCCCGGUUCAUGCCACCGACCGGGACCAAAGGCCGCCGCUUCCCGCCCUUUAGGCUGCCGAAAACUGACCUUUGGUCUCGGUUGGUGGCACCAACCGGGACUAAAGGGGGCAUUGGUCCCGGUUGGUGGGACGAACCGGGACCAAUGCUCUUGGUAUAUAAGUAGCACUUUGCAAUUUUGCAGAGUUCAUCCCCACAGUUGCCCCCGAUGACGCCGAGCACAUCGACGCCGCCAGGCUGCCCCGACGCUGCCCGCCGCCNNNNNNNNNNNNNNNNNNNNNNNNNNNNNNNNNNNNNNNNNNNNNNNNNNNNNNNNNNNNNNNNNNNNNNNNNNNNNNNNNNNNNNNNNNNNNNNNNNNNNNNNNNNNNNNNNNNNNNNNNNNNNNNNNNNNNNNNNNNNNNNNNNNNNNNNNNNNNNNNNNNNNNNNNNNNNNNNNNNNNNNNNNNNNNNNNNNNNNNNNNNNNNNNNNNNNNNNNNNNNNNNNNNNNNNNNNNNNNNNNNNNNNNNNNNNNNNNNNNNNNNNNNNNNNNNNNNNNNNNNNNNNNNNNNNNNNNNNNNNNNNNNNNNNNNNNNNNNNNNNNNNNNNNNNNNNNNNNNNNNNNNNNNNNNNNNNNNNNNNNNNNNNNNNNNNNNNNNNNNNNNNNNNNNNNNNNNNNNNNNNNNNNNNNNNNNNNNNNNNNNNNNNNNNNNNNNNNNNNNNNNNNNNNNNNNNNNNNNNNNNNNNNNNNNNNNNNNNNNNNNNNNNNNNNNNNNNNNNNNNNNNNNNNNNNNNNNNNNNNNNNNNNNNNNNNNNNNNNNNNNNNNNNNNNNNNNNNNNNNNNNNNNNNNNNNNNNNNNNNNNNNNNNNNNNNNNNNNNNNNNNNNNNNNNNNNNNNNNNNNNNNNNNNNNNNNNNNNNNNNNNNNNNNNNNNNNNNNNNNNNNNNNNNNNNNNNNNNNNNNNNNNNNNNNNNNNNNNNNNNNNNNNNNNNNNNNNNNNNNNNNNNNNNNNNNAGGAGAAGAAGAGAAAAUAGAAAAAAAAUUCUAUUUUCUCUUCUUCUCCUCUUUUUGUUUCUUCUUUUUUUCUUCGAUCUUCUCCUCUAUUACUUUCUUCUUCUCCUCUUUUUAUUUCUUCUUCGUCUUCUUAUUUUUUUAUCGGGUAUGUCGUUGUCGAUAUACCCCCUCCCGAUAACUUCAACACGAGGGGGGGGGGGGUCGAUAUACCCCCUCCCCGAUAAUAUUAUUUUCCCAUGUAUGUAUGUCGUCGUAUGUCGUCGUUGUCGAUAUAACCCCCUCUCGACCGUGAUAACUUAUACCACGGGAGCACCCCCCAGCCCUCUCGCUCGACCAAAACUCUCGAGGAUGUCCGUCUCCUACCCCCUCCCGCCGCGCCCCUACCCGACAAACUCUCUCGAGGCCACCCAAAUUUACCAAGUGAAAAGAGCGUUGUCGUUGAGGCCACCCCAAACCCUUGAAGCGUUGUCGAGGCCACCCCAAACCCUUGAAGCGUUGUCGAGGCCACCCCAAACCCUUGAAGCGUUGCCGAGGCCACCCCAAACCCUAGAGAAGCAGCGUCGAGGCAACUAAUAUGAUUCCUUAUUGUGAUUAGCUAGCUAGUUCUACGUUUGCCACUAAUAUAUCCGUCUGUCAUGUUUGAAUAAUAAUUGCCAUGUUGUAAAUAUUUGCAGAAACUAUGGAGCACCCCCGAGACGAAGCAACAGAAGAGGUGUUGGGGGACAUAAUUGCACAAGGAAGUUAUGCCGUCUUGUCGUUUCUCAACAACACCGAUGGUCUGGAAGGACAGGGUGAAGAAGCAGGCUACGGUGAUCGAACAAUUGAGGAGGAAGGACAUGAUUAUGAUGGCUCCGGUGACCCAAUGCCGGUGCAAGGAGACCGUGAUGACGGCUCCGGUGACCGAACCGAGUCCGGCCAGGUAUAUAUAUUAGUUAAGCAUGUGCUGACUAGCUAAUUGAUGCAUUCAUUGUUUUGGUAUGUACACAUAUUAAUUAACUCUCGUCUUUCUUCUUUUUUCUAGCCCUCCGGAUCGAGCACAACUUCGGUAAAGAGACGAGGCCCGAAGAAAAAGUUGCGCUCGGAUGAAAGGUUUGAGAUCACAGCAAUCGCGCGCGAUGGCAUGCCGAUUGAACCCAUCCGGACGAAGGAUGCAUUUGCUGCUCAGUGCGGGGUUCUUGUUAGGGACAAGAUCCCGAUAAGCAUCCACAAAUGGUGUAAGCCUAAGAAGGAAGACCCAGAGGUGUCUUAUGUCGAUGAUAUGCAGAAAGAUGAUCUUUGGACCGCGCUGAAGGCAAAUUUCACCCUACCGCCAGAGGAGGAUCCGGAGAAGCCAGUUAAAGAGCAAUUGAUCAAGUCUCAUGCUCUUAAGAAGAUGGCAGAACUAUUCAGGAGGUGGAAGAAUGAGCUGAAAACAUCGUUUGUCGACAAAGAAAAGACACCAGAAUUCACCGGCCGGUAUGAGAAGAUCAGAGAUCGCUAGCCUGCAUUUGUGGCCCACAAGACAUCGGACAAGAAUAAGAAGAUGUCAGCGACAAACAAGAAAAAUGCUGCGAAGAAGAAGCUUCACCAUCGCACGGGGUCAGGUGGCUACCUCAAAGCCCGACCGUUGUGGGCAAAGGCUGAGAGGGGCCUGCUUGAUAAAGGGGUCCAACCAGAGACAUUGAACUGGCCAGACCGUUGCCGGACUUGGUUCUUCGGGGCUGGCGGAACCUUGGACCCUAUAUCAGGGAAGUGCGUUUGGACGAACGAGCAACUGCAAAUACCUGUCACAAAGCUUCAGCACUAUAUCGAUGUUGCGCAGCAAGGGACGUUCGUUCCAGACAGAGUGAACGACGAGCUCACAAUGGCCCUCGGGAAUCCUGAGCACCCUGGACGGACACGAGGCACGCCAGGCUCCGUUCCGUGGAAGGCUGGGUUUCCGGACGCAGGCGGUUACAAAUGCCAUGAGAGGAGGAAGAAAGUGCAGCAGACCCAACUGGAGGCGCUGCACGCAAGGGUACAAGCGAUAGAGGAACGAGAAGCAGUUCGCAGCAAGCGACCUGCCGAAGCUACCCCCGAAGCUACCCCACCAUCUCAGCGGAGAAGCAGUGUGGCUUCCACCGAGCUGCUUCAGCAAGAGCCUGUCUUCACGGCUCCUGCUAGCUACCCCAUGGAUGCUAUCACGGAGUCUCAACAUUGGCACCUUAUGACGCAAUGGCAGAACUUCAAAGUCAAGGCGGCUGUCGGCUCUGUUCAACCUCCUAAACCCGACGCAACUUUUCGCUGCCGUCCAAUUCCAGAAGGAUAUGCUAGGGUGACAGUGGACGAAAUAACGGAGAGAUUUGAGGACCUCGAGCUUGACCACCCUACCGGUGAAGGGGAGACUCGGCUGGGUUCUUCUCUGAAGACUCUAUGCCUAUGGCGGAAGGAGCUCAUCAACCUUCCGAACUGGACGCCUCCGCCUCCUCCUCCUCCUCCUCCGGCGAGUCCAGGCACUCCGCCUCCUCCUCCGCCUCCUCCUCCGGUGAGUGAUCAGCCUCCUUCUCCGGCGCGUGGCGGCACUCCGCCUCCUUCUCCGCCUGCGCCGGCGCGCCCGAGCAGCCAGCCUCCUCCUUCUCCGCCUCGUCAGCAAGGGCGGAAGAGACCCGCCGCCGCUCCGACUGCUCCGGCGCGUCGUAGUCCUUCUCCUCCGCCUCGUAAGCAAGGAAAGAAGACAGCCGCAGCCGCUCCGUCUGCUCCGGCGUCUAGCAGUACAGGCAGAGGCGGGAGGCAACAAUACAGAUUCGGUCCAUCUCUCAAGGCUGUAGAGAAGUUACCAUAUGAGAGGACCGUGGAGGAAAACGUGCCGAUCGUUGAAGCCUAUGUGAAGGACUUCUUUGAAACGCAAAGAGCUAAGAAACAUCCACCUCCGUUGGAGAAGAUAGAUCCGGUGAAAGCGAAGCGCACUAUAGAUGCCCUAAAGAAACAACCGAAGUCUCCGCCGAAAGGCAACUAUGAGCGCAUUAUUGAAAGAUCAUAUAUCGAAGCGGAGCGGUCGGGAAGUAUUGUCAGUGAUCAAAGGUUAGCAGAACGACGAGCUGGGAAAAAAAUUGCCCAGCUCGGCGAACAAGAGAACCAAUCGUGCACCCCGCUCAAGGUGUCUACCGAUAUCGUCACUAAUCAUCCGGAGAUUUUGCCUGGUACCAAUCGUGGAGAUUACCUGCCCGACGAUGUACAUUAUGAUUUCUUGGAGGUGGAGGAUUUCAGAUACCAUUAUGGGAAGCCUCUCGUCAAAGAUGGAACUAUUCUAACAACGAUGAUGCGAAGAUUGCAUGAUUGGUACAUGAAAACCUGCAGAGAGUCUGGGGAAAGGAUACUUUGACGCUGAGAGUUAAAGAGGAGCACGACCUCGUUGGAAUUGAACUGUUGAGUCUUCCAUUUGAGGAGAUCUUCCAGUUAUUCAAUCAAAAGGCACUCGAUAAAUUAACGAUCACUUGCUACUGUCUGUAAGUACUAUACUUCUGUCAUUAAGUCUCUAUAUAUAGCUCAGCUCUUUCAUUGCAUGUAUAUAUAAUUAUCCUCACUAUAUUAUGCAGAUUGAAGAUCGUCGAAUGCAAGAAAAGACAAGUCGGUGAUAUUGGGUUCAUCAACACAAAUCUCAUAGAUGAAUUUAUGGUUAAAUAUAAUGCCAAAGAAACCGAGGCCAACUUGCUACGAUCGUUGGUAAAAGAUCAAAACAAAGCUAUAAUACUCUUUCCUUACAACUUCAAGUGAGUGUUACUGUCUUGUGCAUAUUCGGUUUCCCUUAUUACUCGAGGUUAAGUAUAGUAAUGUAAUUGAUGAGUUAUGCAUAUGCGUGCGCAGCUUCCACUAUAUUCUCCUAGAGAUUAAGCUUGAGCGGGGACUAGUAACUGUCUUAGACUCGACACGAAAAAACCCCGAGGAAUAUGCGGACAUGACUAACAUGCUCCAAAAGUAAGUUCAAUCGAUCAUUAUCGCACCAUGCAUAUCGGCAACUUUGUUCAUUUCCUGAUAUCAAGUAAUUGUUUUCUUUGUCUGGCAGGAUUUGGAAAAAGUUCACCGCACAAACUCCGGGACUGCCGGGGGAGCUGCGAUUUAUCCACCCGAAAUUAAGUACUAUUAGCUAGUUCCGUGCAUCUCCAGUGAUUCUAGUGCUAAUUUCAUCAAUACCAUUUAGCAUGCUUGCUUAUCAGUUUGAUUGACUUCUGUUUCUUGUAAAGUGGUUGUGGCAGGAACCCGGGACUAAUUACUGUGGAUACUACGUUUGCGAGUCCAUCCGCCACACGACCUGUGAGCGGGGCUACUCUAAAAACAAUAUGAAGUGCGUAAGCAAUAAUAUUCACAAUUUUCUUUUAUUACCAUCAUUUGUGUUGAGUUUCAUUCAUAUAUAUGUAUAUUGACCCCCUUCUUGAAAUUAGAUGUGGCAGAUGCGGGAUGAACUCCUACCACAAGAUCGCAUGAAAGCAAUUCAAGAGGAAUUGGCGGGGUUCUUUCUUGACCAUGUCAUCGAUAAAGCCGGAGAAUACUAUGUGGAAUAUGAGUUCAGAGGUUAAUUAGGGGAUUGUAAUAGAUCUUAUAUUGUAUAUAUGUAGCCACUAGUAGCAUCGGAUAGAUAUACGAAAACUUGUUGUUCGACCAAUCUCUCGGAGAAGGAGAGGUAUAUCACUUAUCUCUGUAUGCAUAUGUUCAUGACGAUCUUCUGUACUUAAUGGUUUACUUCAUUUGCUUACUAGCUAGCAUGUCGAGUCCUCUCUAUAUGUAUAGUACGUAGCGUCGACCAAGCACGGAGAUAAGAGAGGACACUUCUCUCUAUUAGCUAGCUAACACACCCUAAAUUACCCCCUAAACCACCCCCUUUCAGAAAAAAAAACCUCAGCUGCUGCUAGCAGCUGACGCGUGGAUGCCUAUUGGUCCCGGUUGGUGCCACCAACCGGGACCAAAGGCCCCCCUGCCUGGGCUCGCCGCACCGGCCACAUGGAGGCCCAUCUGUCCCGGUUCCUGUAAGAACCGGAACUAAAGGCCUAGGGCUUUAGUAACGACUCUUUAGUCUCGGUUCAAAAACCGGGACAAAUGAGCCUUACGAACUGGGACAAUAGGCCCUUUUACUACUAGUGUAGUGUUGGUUAGGUGUCGCUUGGGAGACUCCGACAAGAUUGUGGAGUUGAACCAAGAAGUUUGUAAGGGCAAGGAGAUCGCCUACUUCGUGAAGACAUACCCGAGUGAGGCAAGUCCUUCGUGGCGAUGGCCAUGGUGGGAUAGACAAGGUUGUUUUUUCGUGGACCCUUCUUUGGUAGAGCCCUCCGUGGACUCGCGCAACUGUUACCCUUCGUGGGUUGAAGUCUCCAUCAACGUGGAUGUACGAUAGCACCACCUAUCGAAACCACGCCAAAAAAGUGUGUCAUCAUUGCGUUUGCACUCUCCAAACCCUUUGCUUUACCUUCAUAUGCAAUGUUUUAUUUUCCGCUGCUAAACUCUUAAAAUUGCAUGUGUAGCUUGAUUGCUUGACUUGUGCUAAUUGCUAAAUUCUGCCCACAACUAAAAUUGAAAAAAAAAAGUUAAUUUUUUUUAUUUGAUCAAGUAGUCUAAUCAUCCCCUCUAAACCUACUUUUGUUCCUACGCAGGUCUACAUCAGGUUGCAUCGCGAGAGCCACUAGAUGCCUCUGUUGCAUCGCUCGAGUCUGACUGGUUAGAAAUAAUUGAUUUGAAUGUUUCUAUCGGGAUUGGCUGAGCAAUGCUUUAAACUUCAUGCAGACCAAUAACUAGAUGCAGGCCAAGCAAUCAAAAGAAGGAUUUUUGCACUGCACGGGUCUGAUUGGGCUAGAGCCUAUCAAACAUAUCCUACGUAUCCACCAGAUGUGUCAACCAUGGUUGCACAUCCACACAUUGGUUUUUCUCACACACAAAAAAGGAAAAAACCACAAUGGUGUGCAACCCCAGUUGCACUUCUUCCGGCUGUGCGCAACUGCUCCUCCACCGUCCGCCCGUAAAUGUAGUUACGUGUCUGGCAACCAUGCAAAACUACUUUUACCUGGCAUUUUAACCUCGAUUGAAAAGUUGACAAAAAGUAUUCAGGUGUUAGAAAAUGUAAAUCAAGGAAAAAAAGGUUUAAGAAAAUAACAUAUAAAUGAGAAAGGAACGUGUUCGGCAUCCCUCUGCUCCUGGAGCGGCCGGAGCGGAGCGGAGCAGCCCGUGGCGCAUUUUCCUAGAGUUGUAAAACUGGCGCUCCAUCCGUUCCCGUAUUAUACAGAGCUGGAGAGCUGCCGAACAGGGCCUUAGCCACAACCAUAUACUCCCUCUCUAAACAAAUAUAAGAAGGUUUAGGUUUGAAUCACUACUUUACAGAGGGAGUACUACUAAUAGAGCCAUAUGAAACCCACGAGUUACAAUAUUGUAGCACUUCCCUUAGCUUCCGUCUCCUCUUUUCCUGCCCACGCUAGCUGCACCAUGAACGAUGAGAUGGUUGACGUUACGAGUUCGAGCGCCGAAGGCGAUCUGCAGCAGUGGGCGACUGGGUGGGGUAUUGGGCGCGAGGCGGCCAAGCUUAACCAUGUCCGGCGACACCUCAAUUCGGUGCUCACCGAGGCGGAGGGGAAGGAGAUCCAUAACGCGCAGCUGGCGCGAUCUCUCAAGGAAGCCCGUCAUAUGGCUUCGCACGGCGAGGACCUCUGGAGCGGGCUGGACUACUACCGCAUCCAGGAACACCACCACGACGGCGCGGUGAGUGCCUUCUUCAAUCUACUAUCACUGUUUAUAGGUAACUGAUGGAGCAAGAGAUUCACGUGAUGGAAAAACCAUGCAUACAGGAGUAUAGAUUUUUCAAUCGAUCGGUGUAGAUCCAGCUGUUGAUUUUGCCCGAUCGAUCUUGAUUUGUUUCCUGUGGUCUGCACCCGGCAGGAAGGUCGUCGGGUGGAUGGAUGGCAUGGGGGAGAAGAGCCUCAAGAUCUCUUGGCUGAGGAAGGUGGGGAAUCGGGGACCGCAGUUGUCCACGACAUGCAACAGGUGAGAGUGUCCUUGUGUCCUGUCCAUCGCUGCUUUGUCGGCAAACCUGCCCCAGCCUAUUAUCUCCACUGGGUAUUUUAGUUCCUUCAUUAACAUAAUACUAAUAAUAUAAUAAAAAAAAUCCAAAGCAUGCUUUGCAUGUAUCAUGGUCUCUCUCUUUUUUUUUGCGGAUGCCCGUAUCAUGGUCUCUCUCUCUUUUUUUUGCGGAUGCCCGUAUCAUGCUCAUCUCCCCAUAUUGCAAGUACAACAGCUUUUCCCCUAAAAAAAGUACAACAACUUUUGGAGUAAAUUUUCUCCCAUGAGGUUCAUGCAAGAUCCAAGUUAAGGGCCUCUUUGCUUCGCAGGAUUUUAAACCGUGGGAUAGAAAAAAGAUAGGAUUGGAAUGUCAUGCUCAUUUUAAUCCUACAUGAUUUCGGGUUAUUUGAUUGCAUCAUAGAAAAACAAAAGGAGUAUUUCAAAAAGGUUUGAGUGGAUACUAGAAAUCCUAUAGGAAGUAGUUAAAAAAUUCCUUAGGAAAAAAACACUAUGGAACUCAAUCUUAUGAAUUAAACAACCAACUAGAAAAAAAUUCUAAGGACUCUAAUCCUCCAAAAUCACUAUAAAAAUCCUUUGAAUCAAAGGAGCCCCAAGGAAAAUUUGGACAGUAAUUCGGGCUGAAUUAUGGGGAGGUCAGCAUCAUCUAGGUCAUAAAUCGUGGGGUCAGCUCAGCUGCCAUGUAAUCAUAGGCCAUUGUAUUUAAUUAAAGGAGGUGAGAGGGGAAGUUGUAUGUUAGACUAGCUACAAUGGAGAGUAACAUACACUAGUAACAUACACAUAUCCCUAGACUAUAUUACUACUUUCAUAGUGGGUAGUAACAUAAGACUACCCAUAGUGAGAGUAACAUAGGUAGUAACAUCACACAUAUCUAGAUAAAGUAGAUGAUGUGGCAAGCAAUAAAUGAAGAAAGAGAGGGAAGUGGUAACAUAGCUAGUUACUAGUAGUAUGAGUAACAUCAUACAUAUCAAGGCAAGAUGUGUCUAUAGCCUAAUAAAUAAAGUGUUACAUGUUACCAUACAUAUGUUACUCCCCACUAUAGAGGUAGUAACAUAGACUAGUAACAUGCACCAUGUUACUAGUCUAUCUUACUACCCAUUGUGGCUAGUCUAAGUGUGGUGCCAUGCAAAACUUCGUUUAUUAGGUUAUAGACUCAUAUUGCAUUGGGACAUGUAAUGUUACGGUAACUAGCUAAGUUACUCAAACUACCUCUCUCCUCAUUAACUCAUUGCCACGUAAGCAAAUUUGUUGAGUUGGACUCGAUGUUACCGUUGAAGUUAAUCCCACUUCUAAGCUCGCUUUUCUAUGACGUGUAAUCAAUACCCUGAUCCUCUGUAGCUUAUUUUCCUAGUGUUCCUCUCCUUCCCAUCUCGGUACAAUUAGGUCACAAUGUUACAAACAUGAUCGGAUGAUCCCUAAGAGCAACUAGUAGACUCGCCAUAUGGCCCCAAUUACCAUAAUAACCAUUCAAUAUGGCGAUUUUGGGACAAAAACACACUCUAGCAGAGUCACCAUACGGGCCUCGGUCGCCAUAGUUUAUGGAGGGCCGUCCAUAUCCAGCCGCAAGACUCCAUAUUUGAAGGCUGGGGGCAUUGGUUUGAAGCAUGCUCCAUCCACCAAUGGCUCGCACGGGAAGGCNNNNNNNNNNNNNNNNNNNNNNNNNNNNNNNNNNNNNNNNNNNNNNNNNNNNNNNNNNNNNNNNNNNNNNNNNNNNNNNNNNNNNNNNNNNNNNNNNNNNNNNNNNNNNNNNNNNNNNNNNNNNNNNNNNNNNNNNNNNNNNNNNNNNNNNNNNNNNNNNNNNNNNNNNNNNNNNNNNNNNNNNNNNNNNNNNNNNNNNNNNNNNNNNNNNNNNNNNNNNNNNNNNNNNNNNNNNNNNNNNNNNNNNNNNNNNNNNNNNNNNNNCCAUCUAGCAACCCACACCCUCUACUUUCCUUCUAGUUGCCCUCAGCCUGCACAAUCACCGCCGCCGAACUGGGUGAUGUUCUUGGAGUGAAUUCGAUGUCGAUUUUUGAAUACGUGAGAAGCAUGGAAUCCAUAGAGAUUUCAUGCUUCUCACAUAUUUAAUCAUCGUCGUCAGAAUCAAAUCGCCGCCAUCAAAAUUGAGUCACCCUCGCCGCGCGAAUAUCGAUGAUGUUGUAUGAAACUAUGAUAAGCAUUAGGUGGGACAUCCGCGUGGAUGUCUAUUAUAAUGCUUAUUAUGAUUUCGAGCAUCGCCGUCGAAUAGAGUCGCCGUUGCCGUAAUCGGCACCCGAAGCUGAAAUCGCCGCCGGAUCGGUACCUGAAGCCAAACCACUGUCGGAAUAGGUACCCGGUCGAAAUCUUCCUAUCCCUCGCCGCCCUGCUCAUGGUCAUCUAAGCCCUCGUCGUCGUGCUCGGGAUUUAACUGAAUGUUGUUGGUUUUUAAAUAAAUAUGUAUUGCAGAUUGGAGGAAAAAAUAAUGUUACACUGACGAGUGGGUCCCUAGACAUGGAGACCGCAUUAUAGCAACUCUAUGUUUGCUCACAGCCGCCGCGGCGCUCCAUAUCAUGGAUGUUAAUUGCCUAAACUUGAUAAGAACGAGCAAGAAAUCAUAAGUUUUAACGACUGAAACUAAAGCGUAUUGUGCUCUCGUACAAGAUUCAACUACUUCACAAUCACGAGGCAAUCGAGCAGCCCAACAAGGCUUGGCAGGUGCGUGUGCCCGGGCACCUACAUGCCCCUGCGAAUUUCCGCCGGCACCCCAUCAGGACCAGGCGCUUUGAGCUCUUCAAUACAAACCAAAGCGUCUUCACUUGUUCCUCGGUCUAUUGGCCACGCAACAUUUUCUCCUCUUGGAAUGAUAGCUUGUAGGAUGCCUUCAUUAUUUUGUCCAGCUCUAGAGGUGAAAAGGUUGUAAAAGUAGCAUGCAAUAUGCUCUUUCGUUGGCUUACUUUUCUUAGGGCAUCUUCAAUGCUGACUCGUAAAUUUGCUCUAGUAUCCCUCCGCGGUGGGGAAACUAGUCCGCAAAUACGGAUGCAGAAGCCGUCCAUCUAACAUUGUUCGCAUACAUUUCAACCCUUGUUUCAACUAACCAGAUGAAAUUCAUGCAAACACGACGGAUUUCAUUCAACUUCGGUCAUAAUUUACAUUAAAAAAGUCGAUAUUUCGACCGUUUAACUAAGAACUAGAAGAAGAAGAAAUCUAAACCCUAUAACGGAUGACCACCUCGUACGCGUCGCCGUCCUGCCAUGCCGCACCGCCAUCGUCGUCCCUGCCGUUGUCAUCGUCAUCAUCAUCGUCCCCGUACGUGGUCCCUCAAGCGGCGGAAAGGCGCUGAGGGCCGUGGGAGCCUUAUCUGGUGGUGCCCGUCGCUCGGUAAGGAGCCACCCCGCCUCCUUCAGUGCAAUGCGGAGGGUCAGUGCGGCCACUGCUGAUGUAGCCUUUGGAGCCUUGGCGGCGGCCUUGUCACGACCGGAGUUGCCGGAGCAGCCGCUAAGCGACUGCACCUCGCUGAUCUUGGCAAGCUCGCCGUCAAGGUAGCGGCGAUGCCUGGCGGUUGCCUCCACAGUGGUGACGGAGCAAUCGAGUGCCCACGCGACGGCCAAGUAGGGGGUCUUUGAGGGCCCAAUCCGGCAUGGUGUCUCUUUUGGCGAACGCAGAGCGGCUGUCGCACCGCGCCUGCUGCCUCGUCGCGCGCUCCUCGUCAGAGACGACGACCUCGGGGCCCAAGGGCCCGCCGACACUGCCUCCUAGGAGGUAGUGGAGAAUGCAGCCCUGCACCUUCGCGAUCACGGGCGGCAGCUCCACCUUGACGGUNNNNNNNNNNNNNNNNNNNNNNNNNNNNNNNNNNNNNNNNNNNNNNNNNNNNNNNNNNNNNNNNNNNNNNNNNNNNNNNNNNNNNNNNNNNNNNNNNNNNNNNNNNNNNNNNNNNNNNNNNNNNNNNNNNNNNNNNNNNNNNNNNNNNNNNNNNNNNNNNNNNNNNNNNNNNNNNNNNNNNNNNNNNNNNNNNNNNNNNNNNNNNNNNNNNNNNNNNGGGUGUGUUGGCGACGUUGGCUCGUCCUUGACACGAUGUCCGAUCUGGACGCUGCGGUAGUGCGGGGGCAAUGCCGACUCUUCCUUGACUUGGCGUCCGAUCUAGACGCCAUGGUUGCGCUCGGACGAUGUCGGCUCGUCCUUGACCAACCGGAGCUGGGACGCCGAGGAUGGUGGCUCCUCCUUGACGCGAGCUGGCGAUGGUGGUGACGUGCCCAUGUAACGAAGUGAACGCUUCGUCAAUAACUCGAUCUAACGGAUGAAUUCUUCGUCCGUCACAGCGGCCUCCGAGAGGAGGCGGGGCCUAUGCUACGACAGUUGUUGCUGCGGCAUCUAGUCCUAUGGCCAGAGGAGAUGACGAUCUCCUCCUUGCCGGAGGAGCCGGACAGCGUGUGCCGAGAUGCAGACGUGGUCCUGGACGGACACGAUGUCGUGCACGCUAAAGUUCAUCUCGGUGCCGCCCUCAUGGAUGGUUGCCGAGGCAUGGUCGCCGUCCCCGCCAUGGGAGGAGGUCGUGCAGGCGCCUCCGGCCAUGCAGCCACCGCAGGGGGCGCCUGCCCACUCUCAGAGGCGAAUCCAGGAUUUCUCAAAGCCUGGGGCUAAAACUAAGCGGCUAUAAAUAACGGUUCCGGGAAGAUGGUGGCCAGGUCGGCGGCGGCGGGAAAAACGGCUCCUUCAGUUUUACAGUAGGAUUUUCGGCGAGUGGCGGCGCGAGCGUCGGCGGCGGUGUAGGGGCAUCCUCUCGUUGGCUGGAGAUCUGAGGCACGCCUCCAACCUCCCUCCCAGCGUCGGCCAGAUCCAGCGGCCGCCGGAUGUGGCGCUUCUGCCCCUUGUUGCCUCUUCCUCCCUUGGGUGGCCGGAGCGGCAUCGGCAGUGGUUCUGGGCCUUCUCCUUCUUCGGCUCCAGCAGAUCUAGGUGCGCCUCCGACCUUCCUCGGCCGCCUCAGUACCGUCGGCCGUUGUCCUCCUCUCUGGUGCGGCGGUGUCUCUUUGUGCGUGCGGCCAUGUCCUUGCUAGUGCUCUGCUCGUGCAAGUGGUGUUGGCUCGACGCUCUGGUGGCUGGUGUCGUCUCUGCGCUGCUCGUUCUACUUCAUUCUGUGUCGUCGUCGUCCUCGUGAUUUACAAUGGCGUCACGAGUUCAUGCCCUGGAUAGUUCUUGCUGUCUGUGUGUGUGUGUCUGUUUUUUUAGAAAACAGGCAUUUUGGCCGGCCUUAAAUUAACAAUGGCAGAGUCGAUUACACAUCAAAGAAAAAGAAAAGGAGCCUGCCAGCAAGGCCUAGUCCUAAUCCGCUGGAAGCGGCGCAUCAUCCGCCCUGCUAUUUUCAAACCAAUAAAAGUUGCACAAUUUUGGUACAAGUACAUGCCAUACCUACGAAUUAUAGGGGGGAUGUUUUUUUAUUAAGUGUGAUUUGCAACAUUCCAAGACAGACAUGUGCUUACUGGUUGUUAUUGUAUCUGCUCAGGUUGCCAAAGACACCACAGAAGAACAUUCAUCUUCAGCACUGGCUGCUCUUCAAAUUGUGCCCUAUGCCAAUGUUUCCAACCCAAUAGUCCCGUCCACCAGCAGCAACACUCGCCCGGAAUGGCAUCUUGGCGUAUCACGUGAGAUAGAUGAACACGUUAAGGCCUGCAUCAGGAUGACCAGCAAUCUGCAAGAGGCCCUUGUGUUAGAACAUCUGGAUGACCGUUAUGUUAUUGCGCAGAGCACAGGGGCGACUGAUCCUCGGGAGACGUCAUCUUGUCCCACCAAACCCAAAGUUUAUGGUAGGGACCAAGAUCGGGACCUUGUAAUAAGUAAGUUAACAAGCAAGGAAUCUGCUGCUGAGAAAAACCUCUCCGUCCUUGCCAUAAUCGGUUACGGAGGAAUUGGGAAGACUACCCUGGCUAAUGUGGUUUUCAAUGACUCUGCUGUGUCAAAUCAUUUUGACGCGCGGUUAUGGGUCUAUGUUUCUGGCUAUUUUGACCAAGCUAAGAUUAUGCACAGAAUGCUCGAGUCCUUGACUGGGGACGACAGGCAUGAAAACAUCAAGGGUUUGAAGGAGCUGCAGGGCACCCUUGAAUCUGCACUGAAAUCAAAAAGGGUGCUACUUGUGUUGGAUGACAUGUGGGAAGAUAGGCAACAGCAAAAAUGGGAUGAGCUGCUAACUCCACUGCUUUCCAGUGAUGUUCCGGGGAAUAAAAUUCUCGUGACAACUCGAAAGCCAUCUGUUGCAAAAUUGAUUAAAGCUACAGAUCAGAUUAGUCUGAAUGGUAUAAAUGAAGACGACUUCUGGGAUUUUUUUAAAGAAUGUGCCUUUGGAGAUGAGAACUACAAAGUUGAACCAAGGCUGAAGAAAAUUGGAAAGGACAUACUUGUCCAGUUAAAAGGUAAUCCUUUAGCAGCAAAAAGUGUUGCCAAAUUAUUGAGAAAGAAUCAUACUGUUGAUUUCUGGAGGAGAAUUCUGAAAGAUAGUGAAUGGAAACAACAAGCAGAUGACUACGAUAUCAUGCCGGCCCUGAUGAUCAGCUACAAAUAUUUACCGGUGCACCUCCAGCGGUGCUUCUCAUACUGUGCUGUUUUCCCAAAGUAUUAUAAGUAUGAGAAAGAAUGUUUGGUCAAUAUGUGGAUAGCCCAAGGUUUGAUAUGUUCCACUGACAACAUGCAUAAACGAACGGAGGACAUUGGAAUUGAAUUUUUCAGUGACCUAGUUGAAUGGGGAUUUCUUCAAAAGGAAUUUGAACUUAUGACCACACAUAUCAUGCAUGAUCUCAUUCAUGAUUUGGCACAGAAGGUUUCAUCUCAUGAAACCUUCACCAUAGGGGACACUGAGUCUAGAAAGGCACCACAGCUUGUUCGUCAUGUCAGUAUAAUUGCUGAGUGGGUGUAUAAGACAGAAAUAGAUGGCACCGUGCAUCCUAAUGAGACUUUCCUCCGUGGAUUUUUUAAAUCAUUUGGUGAGCUGCAACAAACUAGUAGUAACUUGAGCACAUUGUUGCUGUUUGGUCCACAUGACUUUGAAUUUGCACACUCAUUCCGCCAAGAAUUCACUGAGGUGAAGUCAGUCCGUGUGUUGAAAUUAGACAUGGUGCUCUCUGAUCUGGAUUUAAUGAUCGGAAACAUUUCCUCAUUUAUUAAUCUUCGCUAUCUGGAGUUGGGCUGCUUUUAUAAGGGCCCCAGGUUGGAACUGCCAGAGGCUAUAUGUGUGCUUUAUCAUUUGGAAGUACUUGAUAUAAAGAAAAACUGGGGAAAUAGCACAGUUUUACCAAGAGACAUGAACAAGUUUGUUAAGUUACGCCAUUUUAUUGCCAGGGAUGAGUUGCAUGCAAAAAUAGCGGGUGUUGGGGAGAUGGUUUCCCUUCAAGAGCUCAAGGCAUUUGAUGUCCGAAAGGCAAGUGAGUUCAGCAUAAUGCAGUUCAGAAGAUUGAAUCAGCUCAGAGGAUCAAUUAGGAUUUGCAAUCUUGGUGAUGUAGGAAGCAAAGACGAGGCCAUCAACGCAAGAAUCUCUGAGAAGGUCCACCUCACUGGUUUGCAUUUAUCGUGGAACACUGUGUCUGAGGAUAGAGUUCAUACUGAAAGUAAUGUUGAUAUCCUCGAGGAUCUGAAACCACAUGCCGGACUUAUAGAUCUGGGAAUCAUAGCAUACCGUCAUCCUGUACCUUCAUGGCUCAGCAACAAUAUUCACCUCACCUCAUUGCGGUCACUUCAUCUGGAUAGCUGCUCUUACUGGAAAACGAUUCCAACACCCCACCAAUUGCCUCUGCUCCGUGAGUUGAGGUUGAGUAAUAUGGUUCGUGUUUCCAAAAUAGAGAUUGGCUGUUUGGAGAUAUUGGAACUACACACUUUGCACCGUUUAACACAGUGCAUAGUUUUGGACAAGGAGCAGUUAUCUGUGAAUCUGCGAGUUCUUGAGAUAGAUGACUGCAUUAGAUUGAAGGAAUUCCCCUUGCUGUCUAUCUCUAAAGAUACGCUAAUAAGUGAUUGUCAGUUUACUCAUCUUCACAGGCUUUGGGUUCGCGGUUGCUUUGUUCACAUGAGCAUCUCACAACUUCUGCACAUGGAUUCUUUAUUGUAUAUAGAUUUGUUCUUGAGGCCAAGUUUGGAGCAAUUUCGACUUGUACCGAUUGGCCAAUCAGAUGGGCUGCGCAUGGAAAUCAAAGGAACUGCGGAAGUUAAGAGCAAAGAUGAAAAAUUGUUCCCAUUCAACAAACUCAGGGACUUGGAGGAGCUUGAAAUAACAGAUUAUCCAGGUCUGAUGUGCCUGCCAUGGGAAGGCCUUCAAAAGUUGGCAUCAUUGAAAAAAUUUAAGAUGAGUAACUUCGGCAAACUAUUUUCUUGCAUAUCUGGGCUCUAUCUGCCUCCAUCAGUCCAAGAACUUGAGUUUAAUCGGUGCAACAUCACAAUGAAACAACUGUCGCAUGUCCUGCUGAGCCUUCCGUUGCUCAAGAAAUUCAGUUUAACUAGUUGUGAAGAGGUGACAUCUUUACCUAUAGGUCUGUUUACAGAUGAACACAACCAAACAGUGGAAGGCUCCUGGCAUAUCCCUCCCAGCUUCUUGGCGACUCUGGAAAGCUUGGAGAUCUCAUUCAGAAUGAGAGCGCAUGCCAAAGAAAGCUCAGUGAUGCAAUUUUGGAGCAAGCAAUGCUUGGGGAAGUUCACCUCUCUUAAGAAAGUUGUCAUUGAAUAUUGCCCUGCUCUCCUAUCUACUGUGAUUUCAGGAGGAAUGUCCCAUAUACCUCCAUCUUCUCUGGCAACACUCCGUGUGGAUUGCAUCACAGACCGCCGUCUGCAAUUAUCAGAACUCUCUUCCCUCACCGAUUUACAUGUCAUUGAUUGCUCAUCUUUGACAUGUGUCAACUUGGAUGGUUGCACUGCAUUACGAGAGCUGUAUAUUUCAGGAUGCGGCAUGUUAUCAUCGCUUGAAGGUAUGCAGUCAUGUGAGGCAUUGCGGCAGUUUAGCAUCUAUGAUUGCAAGGCGCUUCGUUCGCUCAGAGUAUCGCUCGGCAGCCUCGCAACACUGAGCAUAGAGAGCAAUCCCAAUUUGGCAUAUGUAGACCUGAAUUCUUGUACGGCGCUGCAGAAACUGUGCAUCAAAGGCUGCGCUACAACAGCGUCGUGGGAUGGUCUUAAAUCCCUUGGUGCUCUCGGGGACUUGAAAGUUGAAAAUUCUCCAGGCUUCACAAGGUCAUGGCAAUUAGCAUCGGCAGAAGUUGAGAGCAAGCAUAGCAGCUACUUCCCGCGAAGACUGCAAGUGCUUGAUAUUGAUGACAUUGGUGUCCUAUGUGUGCCCAUUUGCAGUCAGUUAACCUCUCUGAAGACACUCACCAUUCAUGGAUCUAUUUAUUGUCGGCGUGACUAUGGGGACGCUUUGACGGAUGACCAUGAGAGAGCACUGCUACUUGUCACCUCCUUGAGAGACCUCGAAUUUGAUCAGUUUAAGCAUCUCCGGUCACUGCCUGCAGGGCUUGAAUGCCUUACAACGCUGCAGAGGCUAACUGUUAGCAGAUGUGAACUUAUCACGUCCCUACCAGCGGGGGGUAUCCCGGCAUCGCUCAGGGACAUGGAAAUCCAUGGUUGCAGCGAAGAGCUAACUGCACAAUGCCGAGCAAUGUGCAGAGAUCGAAAGAUAUAUUUUGGCGUUGGUGCUUAUACCGUUGGCUCGAUAGAAACAGAUUAGCCUGAGUAUCUGUAUGUAUCAAGAUGCUGCCAUAUAUAGCUCCACUUUCUGGCUCCAAAUCUGGUUUGAUCCUUGAGAGCUUCAGAAUCAAUCAGGUAGGGAAUCAUGUUUCAAAUUUGAAAGUUGUCAGAUUUCUGUCUAUGCGAUGUAUUCCUCUGACUGACUGACUGAUGUGCUAAAGCUCAGUCAGGAAGUUGUAAUGUAGGAAAACAUUAGGUAAAGUCUUGUUUUCCAUGGCUUAUUCCUCCAUGGAAUUUGUAGUGGGCUUCACGCUGAUCUGUUGCUAGAAUGUACUGACCAGACUUGUUUCAUUUUUGACAGGAUGUAACCGGUUCUUGCUGCUACAAUCUUAAUUGCCAAGAGUAUUGAGAGAAGAGAACCUGUGUGUAUUAAAUGCAUGUACAUCAGGGUUCAGGUUCGAAACGACGGAUGAAGAGAUUUGCUAGAUUUAUCCUAUCCAGGUGAAGGGAUUUUGAGCACACUUAACAAAUUCCAAUUUACGGAUUCGCCGAUAGAAAUGAUCAGGCUGUUUUUUAGGGACUUGAAGAAAAAGACUGGAGAGCUGGAGGGAUUUAAAUCAUUUGUUUUUAUCUUAUGAUGAUGCAGUUCACAGACUUAUUGUUUUACUCUCCUUUUUCCACAAUUGAUAGUAUCAAUUCAUUCAAGGCAAUUCAAUAGUGAGUCUACUAGUAGAAUAAUCCAUGUAAAUGAACUAAACCUUAUAUAGAAUCUAAAUAGAAUUUAAGAAGCAGUCAAAAUAACCAAAUUCCUACAAUUUACAAGUUCCACGACGUUAAGUUGUUGCAGAGCUCUUAACUGUAAAGGGUAUUCACUUGGAAACCGUCAAAAUCCAUACAAUUUUCAUGCUACUACUGCAUUGAUUUGAGUAAAUUACGUAAAAUCACCACUUUAAGGGCUAGGUUUGUAGAAAACACUACGUUACAUUUUUUUUCAGAAAACACCAUGUCUACCGUAAACAUUUUGCAAAUUAUAUUGAUCGGCAGAUUUGGAUCAGUUAAACAUGUUUAUGACAGUUGGGCCCUUUUUUGCUUACCUGGCCUAACAUUUUUGUGUCAGAUCAAAUUUAAUCUAGAUUUACAAACCAGUCCUUAGAUUUUACAUAGAGACCCUGAAUCAAAACGUAAAAAAGCAAUUAGACACACGUGCAUCCCACACCACUGGUUGGUGCGGUCAACGCUGGCGGCGCUGGGCAUCUCCUUCGCGCAGCGGCGCAACCACGCACGAGCCACACCGGGGCAGCGGCGCGACAUCCCUCUCCAGAUCCGUAUGGCACCCCAUGCCUGCUCGUCUUGCGUGGCGGCUGACAGCCACGAACUCAUCCCGCCGGACGGAGGGCCAUUGGAUCUGCGCUACGCGAGGGCCGCCGCGACCGAGGGCCACUGGAUUUGUGCUGCGCGGCGCCGGCUGGGGCGGUCAACGUCGGCGGCACUGGGCAUCUCUUUCGUGUAGGAGGCCAAACCGGGGCGGGCGGCAUGGUAUCCCUCGCCGAUUCCGGGUGAGGUGGCGGUGCUCAGGUCAGAUCCGGGGCGCGUGAGGUGCUUGGGGCUCACCGACCAGAAGUUGAGGAGGUCAAGCGGUGGCGGUUAGCAAGGGCGGCGGCGCGGCUGAAAACGCGACAGGCGAGGUCCAGGGGUUGGAGCUCCGGUGAACUCGGGCGGCUGCGCGGGCAAGGCUGACCAGGUGGCUGGACAAAGUCCAAGGACACAAGGGGCUUCGGCGGCACGAUGAAGAAUGUUGGGGUGUUUUCGCUUUUUGACCCAUCUAGCGCUGACGUUAGCAAAACGUUAACUGAGCCAAAUCCGUCCAUAGACAUGGUGACUUCUGCAAAAAAAAAAAAUGUAACAUAGUGUUUUCUGCAAACCUAGCCCUCAAAGUGGUGGUUUUAUGCAAUUUGCUCAAUUGAUUUCUAACGUAAAUAGAACUGUAAAUAGUAUCCCUUUGUAUUCACCAUUUCGUUAAGCAAGAGCUCUAGGCUAAUCUGGGACAUUCCAGAAAUCAAAAGGAAAUGGAAGAUGUUCCCAAGCCAGAAGCAACAUCAAGCAACUCUUAAACACAGCACAGGAAACAAGAUUAAAUAGCAAGUUGACCAUCUUUAGAUUCUCAGUCGACCAACAUCUGUCUUAAUAUCAAAGAGCUCAUUCUAACACAAACGAACCCAUAAACCAUGGUCUUAAGCUACAAUCUCGAUAAACAAAAUCAUCGCAGUGUUUGCAGAAUUCAAACAUCAACAGAGAGGACAGCACCCCACGCGCGCAUUGGAUCUGAAGACCUGUUGGGUGCUCCCACUUGCUGAAGAGUCGCUUCUUCACUCCAUGGUAGCUCCAGAACCAAAAGUGCCGCCGCCGCCUCCACGGCCAAAGGGCCUGGCAGCACCACCAGCACCCUGGAGAAACAAUUAUACAUUGUACCAAAUUAGAUAACCAUAAGUAUGGAGUUAUAUAUGUCCAAUGAAGGAAUGUUUUACAUAGUACUCCCUCUGUCCCAAAAUAAGUGACUCAACUUUGUACUAACUUUACACUACAAAGUUUGGUCGCUUAAUUUGGGACGGAGGGAGUACCAACACAAGAAUUGAGCACUGUUUAACGUAGUACAAAAAACAGAACUGAGCACUGCCAAGCUAAGAUCAAGCCUCAUAGUAAACCAGAGCUGAAUACUACAAUCAAUGAUCAAGCAAAAAAGCAAACACAGUAUCACAGUAGAACAGUUCAACAUACAAUCUAGUUACCAACACUUGUUCAAAUGCUAGACGCUAGAAACAUAAUCAUGCCAUGAAAGCAGACCUCAGUCGAUGACAACAAUCAUAUGGAACAGUAAGUGCAGCCCUUACCCUGAAAGCUGGCUGGUACUCAGCAGGAGCUCCACCCUUCUCACCAGCAAAAUCCCCUGGAGCACCACGUGGGCCUCCUCUGUAACCAUCCCUGUCACCAUACCUGGGCCUGUCACCCUCAAAACGAGGAGGACCCCUGCCAAAUUUAACAAAACCAAUUAGUGAAUAGGAAUACAUCAGUGUUCUUGAUAUAUGAAUGUGACAUUAACAGAAAAGCUGGAUACCAUGGAACAAUUGCAUUUCAUACUUUGCCAAAUGUAACUACUUAUGACUUUAACUACACAGCAUUCCAGGGAGGAAUUGCAAGUUCAAUGAUAGAAUAUAUAAAGAAUGCAAGCCUAAUUCCCCUGUGUUCCCACAACUAAAUCACAUGGCGAUAUAACAGAAAUGGAACAAAGAUUAUUAUUGAGCAUUACUGUGGCAUGGCAAGGUUCAUCAAAUAAUUUAAUCUUUGCUAAACAAAUGUUGGAUCAGGACUAAAAAUUAUACUCAUUCCAAGUCAACAGGCACCAAGACUGGACAGACUAAUAAAUAUCCAGAGUAUAACUGCAUGAUCAAUGAGGCACAUCCUCACAAGAUCUUAUGCCCAAAACAGACAGACAGAAUGAUGAAGAUACUUAGCUCACCUGGGGCGGUCACCCGGUGGGCCAGAGCCGAAGGGGCGGGACGGGGGCUUGGCGGACUUCUUGAGGGUGUUGGGCACAAUCUCAGACGGCAGGUUGAGGAAGGUGCGUAGGAACUCAAUGCCGUCGUUGGUCAGGUACCAGUAGUAGUGCUGCCACGAGAAGGUCUCCCUGACGUACUCCUUGGACUUGAAGCUCUGCAUGAGCUUGAUGACCUCCAGGUUCGAGGCAUCGACCUGGGGGUGCUUGGCCAGGUUGUAGUCCUUCUUGGCGUACAAGACUCCCUCUGCACACACACGCAUCACAAUAAAUUCAGUCAAAUCGUUCAGUCCGUCCAAAGGAGUAGCAUUCUUGCACACAUCAAAAGUUGAAAUUCGCAGCAAGGAAUUCAGUUAAGAUGCUCAGACUACUGUAAUAGUCAGUAGAAUUCUUCAAGAUUGCAGCUUGCGCAUGAACAAGAUUCUUCGGUCAGGAUGUCAGUGAUAUAAUAACUGUCUAUGCUCGAACCUUGCAGCAACCGCGCGUAAGAGCGAACUCGCCGCGGUCAAUGGGUGCCAAGAUCACUGACGGAGCAACCUGGCUAAAACCCUAGACUUGACUCGAACCCUACGGAAGAAGACUAACGAGAUGGCAUCUGGAUCCUAACCACAGCCUGCAAGGUGCGAAAAAUGGGCGAGGGAGGGGGGAGGGGCUCACCCUGGAAGAGGUACUUGCAGAUCUCGCGGCGGUUCUUCUUGGAGAUGAUCUGCGGAGGGAGACAAGGGAGGUCAGAUUAGGGAGUUCUACGACCGGAGCGACCAACGCGGAGAGCGGACUGGGCUGGGGGAUGCUUACCAUGGUGACGGGCGGCGGCGGGGACGGAGACGGCGUGCAGGGGAGCGGGAGGCGGAGCGCGGCUGCUGCGAGGGAUGGAGGGAGGGAGAAACCCUAGCCGUCUGGGGGGUCGGUAUAUGUAGGGAGCCGCCUGGGCCGCGAGGUGGGGGUGAGAUGGGAUGGGCUGGUGUGGUGGGCUUGCAUCUGGGCUUGUUGUUCCUGGGGCAGGCUUUGCCACUUUGCUGUGUGGUUCUGUGCAGGCCCGGUCGAGAAGACACACGGUGGCCCACUCAGGUGCUCUUGGUAAACAUUGAGAUGACAUGGGCUUGUGCUUCCCCUCUUCUCUUUUCAAUUUUUCACACUCGCUUGAAUUCCAUGUUCGUUCAGACGUGCAAGCUUACUGGUUUCAGAUAAUGUUAGCCAUGUAUAUGAAAAAUGUUAAGCCUGUAUAAAAAAUGUUUUGGAUGUGUACCGAAAUGUGCAGUGCGUAUGAAUACAAUAGGCAUCAAAAGGUGUGUUUCGAAAAUUAUGUUAAUCAUAUAUUUGAAGAAAAUGUUAAGCAUGCACUAAAAUAUGUUUUGGAACUGUAAGGAAAAAAUGUACGAUGUGUCUGAAAAAAAGUGGACAUCAAAACAUAUACUGGAAAAAAUGUGAAUCAUGUAUAUGAAAAAUGCUAAACCUGUAUAAACAAGUGUUUUAGAUGUAUACCAAAGAUGUACAAUGGGUAUGAAAACAAUAGACCUAAAACCAUACAUUUUAAAAAGAAAAUCUUAAUCAAUUAUUUGAGAAAUUUUAAGUAUUAAAAAAUGUUUUAGUUACCAAAAAUGAACAAUAUGUAUGAAAACAACUUACAUCAUAACCUAUAUUUGAAACAAAUAUUAAUCAUGUAUUUGGAAAAUGUUAAACGGGUAUGAAAAAAUAUUGUUGACGUAUACAAAAAAUGUACAACGUGUAACAAAAAAUGUAGGGAUAUAUUGAAAAAAGGAACAAACACAGAAAACCAAACAAAGAAAGCAGAAGAGAAAAAAAGAAAUGAAAAAACAAAAGGAAAACUAGUGAAAAAAUAAAAAGAAACAAAGAAAACAAGAAACCCGAGAAAGAAACAAAAAAACAAAGAAAACCGCCUCCAAUCCAACUAUGGGAGCAACUGAGCAUGUGCACGAACCCAAAAAAAAUGAUUGUAAAGUCAUGCAGUCCACACGACUGUGCCAGAAAACAAACAAAAACUGGUACACCGGGCCAUCCGGUCCCAUUUUUGGACACGUGUAAGCGAGUGCAAUGCAGUUUUUGCAGUAACCAAUAUAUAAAUAAGUUUUCUUUAGAAAUAUAUAUAUAUAUAAAGAACUAAGCGAGUGCGCUCGUGCACAGGAUGAGCACAACCGAGUACGUUCGUGGGCCACGGCCCAAGGUAAUCACGUUCAGGCGUUUGGCGGAAAGAAAACAGAGUUGAAGAAACAACCAUUCUCUCUCUCUCAAUUUAUUUUUGAAGAAACAACUAAAUACAGAUGCAUGUCGUCCGACGGAAGAUUGGGAAUUACACGGGAGUCCACACUCACCUGAAUGUUGUUCCACGGGUGUAAAAAAACAUGUCGUGAUGCCAAAGUUGUUUGCUUCAGAUCACACCUAGGAUUCAGAACUAAGAAUUUAGAUGGGACCAACAUGGCUCGGCUACACAAAAUUCAGCUGACCAACAUCGAGACCUCUCACGUAUCUUUUAUAAAAGAUAAAAGCGCGCCAAAUUUGAAGAUGAGCUCAAUCUCCAAAUCUCCAUGCCAUAUAGAGCUUGCUAAAACAAACAAAUCUAAGCUCACCCAGAAAAAAUCCUUCACAAUUUGAUCCAAGGAUGGGGGCCAAUGCCCCCCCCCCCCCACAUACAAUUAUCAGCAUCCGACACUUUUUCAUAGUACCGAUAAUUCUGCUUGAACUGCUCCAUAGAUCCAGUACUUUCGCUCUCUUCCUAAGCAGAAUAUCUUAAGCAGGCAUCUCUUGAAAGUCAAACACGCACAUGACCCAGGAACUAAUGUUUAGGAGAAAAGAGAGCAUAAGUGUAAUGCUGCACAGGUACGCAAAUGCAUUGGACGUGGCAUAACUGGCACAAGGUUCGUUCUCGCAUAGGUCAAAACCGAUGAUGAACCAAGAAAUGCACCUCACAUGCUCGCUGAACCGACAAGAGCUGCUCCUAUAACCUGUAAAAAACAAUACCAUGAUGAGGAACAAUAGAGAGAAUGAAAAUAAAAAUAAAAUAAUCAAAUCCAUUUGACUACUUAUAAAUACUUCUAUUCUACUCCCUCCGUACCAAAAUAUAGGAUACUUUUGCAGUGCAACAAUGUCCUAUAUUUUGGCACAAAGAUAGUAGUCUAUUAUUUGUUUGUCUUUAGCUACUGUUUAUCAAAAAAUAUAAACAACUCACUGACUGCAAAAGGAGGCUGAAAUCAUUCCAAGUUCGUGAUAAGGUGAUGGUAUAUCCCCGAAAAGAGAGAUUGUCUUUAGGUAUAAAAGAAAAGCUUAGCAGCGAAGGUAAGUGCCCUUCUCUAUUCAGAGGAAGAUAAAUGAUAAUGCGUAUGUAAUAGAUCUUCCAAGCAACAUAUCUUUCUACCACCCAAGCAACAUAUCUUUCUACCACCUAGAAGAAGUGCUCUAUGAAGAUAACUCAUGGUCCAAGUUUAAACAACCAAGGGAGAAUUAUGAGCAACAACAGAUAGAGAAAAAUAAAAUCAAAAAUCAAAUCCAUCUGAUUACUUCCAGAUACUUAUAGUCUAAUCAACUAGUAUUUCUUUGUCUUCUUAGCUUUAGCUACUAUUUUCUAGAGUCUUCUAGCUAUGAGUAGAAUGUUAAAUCUUAAGUAACGGUUUCUAAAGUGUUCUAGCUAUAAGUAGAAGUUAGGGUGUUAAAGCUUACCCAAAGCUCUAUGUAUAGAUAUAGGUCCACACCUCUAGUUUGCAACAAGAUUUUGUACCCCACUGCCUAUGAUAGAACUUGGUGUUCUUAUCUAAGAUCAUAAAUUAGAUCUUGUGCUCUAUGAGUUUUGGACUGAACUCAUGUUGCCGUAUCGGCCUAUAUUCGCCUCUAGAGCGAUAUCUAGCACGGCAUGUUGAAGUAGUUCCUUCAACACUACACAUUGUAGCAACAAGUUGGAGUUGUUCCUCCACAACCUUGUGCUGCCUCACACCACUAACUCAAAUACAUUACUAUGAGAAAAGAAACAUUGAGAAGAUUAGAAUGCACACUUCCGCGAUAGCAAGAGCCUGACUAAGCAAAGCAUGAUGUAGAUGCGGCUUGACGAGCAGUGCGUACACAUCCAGAAAAGCCAACAUCAGACUCCACAGACACAUCACGCCAGAAGCUGCAAGAACAAAGCUGACCAAAUGAAUACCUCGUUAGUUUGAUAUCCAAAAAGAACUAGGAGCAACGUGAUUAUUAGAAUACAAGUAAAAAAAUCUGACCUAGAGAAGGGAACAUACGUGAAGCUGGUGCUGGCCAUAUGUCUGCUAGCCCACUGGCUCCACUGCCCCCCUCCACCUCCAUUGGGAUUUGGAUUCAUUAAGGAUUUGGGUAUGAACUAACUAUUGUAUGCAUCGGUAGAGAUUGUUAAACAAAUAGAAUAUAAGCUCACCCCAAGAAAAUCCUUCACAAUUUGAUCCAAGGGUGGGGGCCAAUGCCCCCCCCCCGCCCCCAACUCGGUAUGCGCGUAGCUCUACCUCCGAUUCUAUGUACAGUAUCACACUGGCUCGCAAAAUUAGAACACUCAAAAGAUAAAAAGUAGGGAACCAAAAUAUCACACCACAUAUAAUAGCUACAUAAAACUAUAGGGAGAAUACUACCGGUUGAAUGAAAAUGUAAAACCCCUUUCACAUGUUUCUAACAAAGUAGUCAAACGAACAACUUUGUAGUUUCAUGGUCAGCUUGAUUACAUCUUCCAGGGAAAAAAUGACAUGUUGAUUUCUUCAGUUAUACAAGUAGAAUUGAGCGAAACAUCCUUCCAUGAACUAGUUCACGGUAUGGGAAAAAUUAACAGAAGUGGCAUGUUGAUUUCUUCAGAUAUACAAGUACAAUUGAGCAAAACGUUCUUCCAUGAACUAGUUCACAUAAUUAGGGCUCGAUAAGACUUGCAUAGAGGGAGAGGAUGUGAUAUUGUACCAAUAUUUUGAACAACAUUUAUCGGCUUGGCACUGCUGGCUGUAGGCGUGAGGACCACAAGAGCGAUGAGAAUCCAUUUUUUUGUUUUCUUCUUGGUGCACCGGAAUUUCUUCUCUCAGCUUGUCUCCGAAUGGAACUUGUCCUUUUCAGGGCUCUUCGGCUUAGUAGCGGUGUCGUGUGCCGUGCUUGAUGGUACAUUUUGGUUGAAUCAAAAUAGUUACUUCUUUUAAGUUCAAUUUCUAUGAGAGAACAAUAUGAAUGUUAUACAUUGUUCUGUUAAAACACUCAUUUUUUUGGUAUAACUAUAAACUUUUACAUGGCUCCUUUUGUUUAGUGUCUCCUAUUUUUUUUGGGUUUAUUAACCUUUUGUUUUCUUCUAUUGGUAUUCUGCUAUUUUGCUAUAUAAGGGGCAGUAGGAUUUAUUGUAUCUGAAUCUACCACUUCAAGCACUACAAAGGAGCAGCGGAGAGAACUGCUACGAAGAUAGCAUCACAAAUAUUCACAAGUCUAAGUCUGAACCACUUCAUACAGGUAGAAGUAGAAUGUUCAACAAAACAUAUGUUUCAAAAGCUGACUUGUGCUAUUAAAAUACACAAUGCACGAAUUGGAAGUUCUACCCUCUUAUAUAAGCUCUACCAGCAGCAUAUGUUGAUUAUCUGACCACCUUGUUAUCUCGGCAGUUGUAGGAAGCUCCAG
rnacentral:lncRNA from 1 species